UGGUCUGUGAACCCAGUGCGUGUGUCCUCGCCUCUAAAGCUCAGGAACACCUCGUACUUCCAGCGGUUUGAACGCCGAGAGGAAGAGGAACCGCCGGCGGCGGCGGUUGCAAGGGCGAGGCUGCCGGUAUUCAUUGAUUUCAAGCAAAGAAGUGAAACUCCUGAUCGUUUCAGUCUAAAGAAAACAAUUCUCUCCCAAGAUUCCCAGCGAAACUCCUGAUUAUUGUUUUGGAUCGCUGGAAGAUGUGAGAGCAAAAAAUAAUGAAGAAAGAAGAGGGAGAGAAGAUGCAAGAUGCGGCUGAGUAAGAAAAGAUGGGAGGGAGAAAAUAAUAACAAAAACUGGGAUUGAAUUAAGUUUUCAACAGACAAAAUAAAUACUAAAGUGAAUAUAUCAGGUUUGACUUUUUAGUGUAAAAAUAUAGUUUUUUGUUUAAGUAAACAGUACCGUUGACUUUUUGUUAAAACUCGCAUAAUAAUAUACCCACAUUUGUAGUAAGAAGGCUUUUCUUAAAAGACCUAGCUUCUCUGUCCUUCCACUUUCCAUAUACUUUCAUCCUCUCUUAUUUGUACGAUCACGGUUAAGUCACGUCUACAUUUUAUAUUCUUAUUAUCUCUAUAAAAAAAUCAAUAUAAAAUGUUGACACUUAACCGUGAUCGCAAAAAAAAAAAAGAAUGAAAGUGUAUAAGAAGUGGAAGAGCAGAGAAGCCGGUCCUUUCUUUAUGGGCUUGAUUGAUUAAGUCUAAUCUACCAAUAUAUUAUAUUUAAUAGGCCUUAUUGUAUAGGUUGUCAUUGUCGACGGCAUCGCGAUCAUUAUUCAAAGCAUAUAAUCAGUUUUUAAUUAAGGUGGAUUACUGUUCUGAUUGGUUUGAAACAUUCAAACUAUUAAAAUGUAAUAUAGUUUUGAAUAAUUGCUAGUGGACGUAUUAAACGAGAGUGCGAGAGGCACGAUAACGAUUCUUAUUGAAAAAUUUAAUCCAUAACACAUGAUGCAAAUUAAUUAAAUACAUAUUCAUACAGGCCAUGAAAUUUAUAAAUCAAGACGUGCUCAAUUAUCAAAUUUAUUAAAAAUUUCUAAGUACCUCAUUAUUUUGUUUGGAUUGAUCAGUUGACCCGAUUAAAAUGCCCACCCUACUUGAGAACCUGCAUUUACAUCGAAUAUGAGAACUUGGCUAGGUCUCGUCCAUGUCCUUAGUACAAUUAUCCAUUAAUGGUCAUAUAUAAUGUAAUGGCAUUUUUUUUUCGAACGACCAUAUUUGACCAUCAAUAAAUGAUUGCAAUAAGUACUUCAAUCCCUAGCUAAUAUUAUUAAACUCGAAUCGCAACGUUUACAUCGAAAAUCAGAGUAUUAAACAAUUCUUGCUCCACGGUUACCUAGUGUCCCCAUUAAAAUUGAAAGAAGGCUACAUGUGCUCUUAGCAAAUUAUUAUUGGCACUUCAAAAAUCUCAUUUUGCACUCCAAACUUUCUAUAAUUAGAAAGAAAAAUAUACUUGUGAGAAGUGUAGAAUGAGAUUGUUGGACUGCUAAUAACAGUUCCCUAAAUAAAUAAAUAAAAUUAAUAUAUAUUCGGUUCGGUUUUAGAAUCAUUGAAACCGAAACCAAACCAAAUGAUUUCGGUUUGAUUCGAUUUUUUGUUCAGUUCGUUUUUUAGGUUUCGGUUCAAUGUUCCGUUCAUUUUUUUUCCUAUUUUUAAUCCACCCUUAGUUCACGACCUUAUUCUAUUUUAAAGGUGGUGUACAGGUUGGUUCAACUGAUGUUGAUGGACGUCAUGGGUUUAUGAACAAACAUGACAAGGUUGCACUGGACAUGGCACAUGUUUGUGGGUUUUGCAUUGAUUGAAUUGUAUUUUAAAUGCAAACAGAUGAGCCAGAGUUUGGCAAUCAAUGCUCCAAUUAGGAUAAAGUCUGAGGACCAAUUUUAACAUUAACAAAACAUAAUAAUAGUAAUAUGCCACUUAUUCAAUAUGCUAAUAUUCAAUCUGAUUUUAAUGAUUCACAUGCAACGAUUUCAUAGUCACAUGAUGUUUUAAUAUUGUAUGUAUAAUUUUUUUAGAGACAUCACGCGACGAAAGGCCAGGGUUCUGCUGUCCCGAACUUUGUGUCUCCUGCCAUGUCUCCUUCUAAUUAUGUCAUUUAACUUAACUCCCAAUUUAACAGUGUCAACUUUUCUUAAUUAAUAUUUAUUUAAAUACAAAAACUGAUUCCCCAAAGAAAAUUGAAAAUCAAAACAAAAAGAAAACAAAUCCCAACUGGAAGUCCGAAAGUCUGCAGCUCCCUCCAAUCUCAGUCGGCGGCAAUUCACACGGCCGUUGAAGCUUCCAUUACACUCUCUUUCUAUAUCUCACCAGCGAAGUCCCGUAGGAUGAUUGAGUCAAACCUUCCCGUAUAUUAUGAUCUCGCCGUUUAUUGUCAUCGAGUCGAUUCAAAUCUCGUUUCUAUAGAUUGACCAAAUUUCUUCCUUGCUUCCUCAAACCAAAAAUUACAUAAAAUUUGAUGUUUGACGGGCCGGGUUGAUCACGAUUGGGUAUUUGAACGGAGAAAAAAAUGGCGAACAGAGAGAAAAGGAGGUUUCGCCAGCCGUGGAGUUCUCCGAUGACAGACCGAUGUUGUUGGCUGUCGAAUUGGUGUUGAUGGGAAUUUGAGUGGCUGUUGCUUUUAAUUUUUUAACUUUUAGUUUUUAUUUAUUUAACCUUAUUAAACAUUUUUUGACAAAAAAAGCCUUAUUAAACAUUUGACACUGUUAAAUUACAAGUUAAAUUAAAGGGUAUAAUUAGAAGGGGACAUGAAAGGAGACACAAAUUUAGGGACAUCAAAUCCCUGGCCGUGUAAAGAGGAUGAGAGCCUACGGACCCUAAUGAGCUUGACCACUGGUUUGAUUGAUGACUAAGAAUUAACAUCUCUUUUUAUGUGACUUGAAGCACAAUUAGGUUUGAUAUAAAAUAAUACAAGAAAGUAUGAACCUAAGAAUUUGUAGUGGAAAAUACAAAAGGUUUUUAAUAUACCAAAGAAAUAACGUAUCAAUCAUGAGUUGUACGUUGUUUUGUAUUUGUCACUGAUGGAUUAGUCAUCGUCAUUGUCAAUGUCAUCGUCAAACUCAUAUGAUAUAGUAUGAUAAUCCUCCUCACUAGUAUCAUUAGGCUCUAUAUAGUACACGUUUAUAAUGCACCAUAUUCACUCCUGAACGAAAAAAGUAUAGGAAAACAAAAAUUGGUAGAAAGUGAGAGACUCAGAGCAGUUCCACCGGAGCUUUGUUUGCCCAUCACCCAGUAAAAAAAAACACACUGAGGGUCUGUCCAUUCACUUCAGCCAACAAAGUUGCCUGACACCCAACCCAAGCCAGGCAACAAACCAGCCCAUUUUUGACAGACCCAAGAGCCGGCCUAUUUGGCUGGCGCGUGGCCGCGAGUAGGAGACAAGGUUGCAGAGGGCUGUCAACCCACUUGUGCUCCGGAGCCCCAUUAGUGACGUGGCAUGUUCAUAGCCGUUGGAUUUCCAACAGUAAAAAAAAUUUAAAAUUUACUUUUAAACUGGACCGUCCGAUCACAAAUCAACGGUCCACGUUUUUUACCCCAAUACAGAAAAUUUUUAAUAAAUUUAGAUAUUAUUAUUAUUAUUAUUUUAUUUUUUAUAAAUUCAGAAAUUAAAAAUAAAAUUAUUAUUUUAUAAUAAAAAUACUAAUAUUUUAAUAAAAUGGACUAUGCUAUUCUUUGUUAGGGGUGGAGAUGCUUUGGCCUAUUACUAUUCACUGAGGUCUAUUACUGUUCACUUGAGUAGAUAAAUGCGCUGGGUGCUGGCACAAAGUCCUUAGGGGUGGACUUGCUCUUAGUGAAAAAGAAGAGAGUGGUAUUUUGGGAGAAUGAUUCUACGAUCUGUAUGUUCACAUAGAUGUGAAUUAUACGUAUUACAAUUUGACCUUGUACAAACAUUUAGGGCACGUUUGUUUGGCCGGCUUAAGUUUCACUGGACUGGACUACUAAGCUAGAAUCAGUAGUCCUGUGUUUGGUGUAAAUUGGGAUUGUGUUUAAUGGGAUUAAGCCGGACUCGUGCCGACUAAAUUCUUCGCUAGGUGGGCUUAGCGAGAGCCACCAAAAACGAGGGGAUUUGUAGUCCCGCUUCUGUUCUUCUCUUCACCUCAUGUUGCUUCGCUUCACCCCAGGCUUGAACGACAACUUGCGGUCCCUUUCUCUGACUCUCUCUCUCUCCUCCUCCCUCUUCUUCAUCUCAGAAGAUCUCCAAAUCUGCAAUUUUGGGUUUGACGGAAACGAAUCCAAGAAAUCCAAGCCAUAGCCGUCUCUCAUUUCCCCGACUCCACAAACCCUGACUCGUUGCCGAACAGCUUGCCAGGCAUUGUUGCAGGCUGGUUCCGCCGCUCCACAGGCUUGCGGCUCCGAUUGAAUCCACGGACUUGGAAAGCUCUCUCCAGUUGUAAUCUUGCACCGAACAAAAACCUGAAAAACCAAGCUCGAUUCUUCGUUUUGCAGAAAAAAAAUUUGGCAAUUAAUCGGAAAAAAAGAGGACAGGAAUGAGAGAGUGGGACGGAGAGAACGAGGGAGAUAAAGAGGGAGAAAAGGAUGAGGCUUCCACAGAGAGAGGGAGAGUUUUAUUAGAAUAAAAAAGGUAGAAUUAAUUAAUAUAAUAUUAUUAGAUAUGAAUUAAAAAAUAUAAUAUUGUAGUUUGCUAUUAUCCUUCUUUUUAGUCCGACACUGCACCAAACGCUUCACUAAGUUAGUCCAGCUUAGUCUAGUCUAAGUCAGUCCAGCUUAGUCCCUGAAGCUAGUCCAGUCUGAGAUAGUCCGGUGCAACAAACGCACCAUUAAGUGAUUCAUGUAUUUGCUGAAUAGUUCAAAUUCAUCGCACUCUUUUCAUUUCCUCAAACAAAACAGAACAAAGAUAGACUCUUAAUUCAUAAAAUGUGGAACAUUUGUCCUUUUACACAUACAUAAUAAACGAAGCAUGUAACAUGUGUUUCACUUGCUUAAUUUGUCGGAAGUUCUCAUGCAAAUGCUAUGCAUUUUAUAAAAUUCUAAUACCAAUUCUAUACAUCUCGUCAAAGAGAGAUAAAAACACGCCACACAAGGGAAAAAACGAAGAAAACCGACUUGACUGGAUUCGACACAGGUAACUUAGAGCCACAAGUGUAACUACCAACGAAACUCAAUCUGGUUUUAUGAGAUUGUGAGAUUCUUUUGGGGUUACCAAGUGAGUCUUCUGCAUGAAAAGGAGGGAAGUCUUUGCGAAUAUGCUUGCAUAAUGUAACAACGUGAAAUCAGCGGCGUAAUUGCACUCUCAAACCCUCAAAGCCGGCCUUUCCCAGGACAGAUUCUUUGCCACAAAACUCGACGCUCUGUAUGCAAAAUAUGAGUCGCUCGGUCAUGCCCGCAAGGUGUUCGAUGAAACGCCCUACAGAAGUGUCUAUCUCUGGAACGCCAUUCUCAGGAGCUACUGUAGAGAGGACCGAUGGGAGGAGACCUUGUGUUUAUUUCGUAACAUGAUGUCUGAGUCAAGAGGUAAUGAUGAAAAGCCUGAUAAUUUCACCAUUCCCAUUGCUCUGAAGGCGUGUGCGAGGUUAAGGGCGUGUGCGAGGUUAAGGGCGUUCGCGUGUGGAAAAAUAAUACAUGGGUUUGUGAAGAAACAUGAGAAGGUUGCAUUGGAUAUGUUUGUAGGUUCUGCAUUGAUUGAAUUGUAUUCCAAAUGCGGACAAAUGGGUGAGGCUGUGAAAGUGUUUGACGAGCCGACAUUCACCUCUCCUAGACCCUACGUAAAGCGGGAGCCUUGUACACUGGUACGACCUUUUAUGUGUUUUUGUAUACUUUUAUGGUUACUGGAUAUGAGCAGAAUGGUGAUCCUGAAGAAGCAUUGGAGUUUUUCUCCCGAAUGGUGAUGGUGGGGCGCAUUAAUCAUGACCGAGUGACGCUUAUUAGUGCUGUUUUGGCUUGUGCUCAGUUAUCAAAUUUUAGAAUUGGAAGUUUUGUGCGUAGUGUUUCUAUUAGGAAUGGGUUCAACUCUAAUUUAUCUUUAGGUAAUGCGUUGCUAAUUCUAUAUGCAAAGACAGGUUCUGUCAAAACUGCCGCUAGGUUGUUCAUGAAGAUGCCGGAAAAAGAUGUGGUUUCUUGGAGCUCCAUGAUUGCGUAUUACACUCAUAAUGAGGAUGUAAUAGAAGCGUUAAAUCUUUUCAACGAAUAUUGAUAUGAGAACCGAACCUAAUUUAGUGACUCUGGUAUGUGCAUUGCAAGCAUGUGCACUGGCAGGUAAUUUAGAAGAAGGUAAGAAGAUCCACGAAAUUGCUACUAAGAAGUGUUUCGAGUUAGAUAUCAAGGUAGCUACAGCCCUGAUUGAUAUGUACAUGAAGUGCUCUGCACCCGAAAAAGUAGGUGAUCUCUUCAAUAUAAUGCCAAAGAAAGAUGUGGUUUCGUGGGCUGCCUUGUUGAGCGGGUAUGCUCAUAACGGAAUGGCAUACAAGUCAAUUGGGGUCUUUCGCGACAUGUUAUUAGACAAAACUAAUCCUGAUGUCGUUGCUAUGUUCAAGCUUCGUGCAGCUUGUUCGGAAUUAGGGAUUCUUCAACAAGCUUUUUGCCUCCAUGCUUAUGUGAUUAAACGCGCCUUCAAGAAUAACAUCUUUGUUGAAGCUUCACUCAUAGAGUUAUACUCGAAAUGCGGCAGCAUAGGCAAUGAUGUCCUAUUAUUUGAAGGGAUAACAGACAAAGAUGUCGUUAUCUGGAGUGCAAUGAUGGCAGGUUAUGGAGUUCAUGGGCAAGGAGAAGUAGCUUUAAAAGUAUUUGAUCGGAUGGUUAAGCAUUCAAAUGUCAAGCCUAAUGAUGUAACAUUUCUCUCGAUUUUAUCUGCGUGUAGCCAUUCGGGUUUGGUUGAAGAAGGCAUUGAGAUAUUCAACACGAUGUUGCAUGAAUACCAACUUAAGCCAUGACCUGAGCAGUACGGGAUAAUUGUUGAUCUUCUUGGCAGGACAGGAGAGCUGGAUAAGGCAAUGGAAAUCAUUGAGAGAAUGCCCAAUCCAGCUGCACCGCAUAUUUGGGGAGCCUUGCUUGGUGCAUGCCGGAUUCAUAAUAACACAAAGCUUUGAGAGGUUGCACCUAAGAGUCUUUUUCAGUUGGAUCCUAAUCAUGCAAGGUAUUACAUCUUGCUGUCGAAUAUAUAUGCCAUCGAUAACAAAUGGGAAAAUGUGACAAAUCUCAGAACUUUGAUAAAGGAGAAGGUGUUAAAGAAGAUGUCCGGGCAAAGCGUUGUCGAGGUGGGGAAUGACAUCUGUAGUUUUGUUGCCGGAGAUAGAUUGCACCUUGAUUCCGAUCAGAUUUAUGAAGUGCUAGGAAAUUUAGAGGUGAAAAUGAGAGAGGAAGGUUAUGUUCUCAAUGUCGAUCUCCUGCUACACAACAUGGCGAAUGCUAUCUAGAUUAGAGCGAGGGAUGUUGACAUGUAGAGGAAAUGAAUCCGGUAGAAUAGAAACAAGAGAUACGCAAGGCUCCCUUGAAAGCACUACACGCUCAUCCUCACUAGCUGACGUGGGACUCAAUCACUUGGCUCAAAUCUAAGCCACCAAUCUCCACCUUGGCGUGAUUCAAAUGCAAAUGCAAAUAGAGCUCCACCUUGACCACAGACACCAAAUUUCAAAUGAGCUCGCCCUUCAACUUCAACAAGCGUUGCCUAGGGUCUAAUACCAAUUGUUGUGCGGAAGCACACCAUCGGGUCUUACACACACGAGUCGGUAUUGCCGAUAUUCCACCUACUUUAUCCACACAAAAAAGGGUAUGGAUUUUAUCAAAAAGCCUUGGCAACAUGUUUUGUGUGAUCAUUGCUUAUAAAGCACCACAUGGUCAUCCUCAGUAGCCGAUGUGGGACUCCACUUGGCGCAAAUCUAAGCCACCGAACCCAACAUUCAUCAACCAGAAGGAAGAUUGAGUUGAGAAAAUUUGAAAUGUUAUACACACUUAUACGCUAUUUUUAGUUUGUCAUACAACUAAAAAUUUGAGUGAUUUGUCAUAUCAAUUUUCCAAAUUCACGAAUUUGUCAUCUCAACUUAAUUUCGUUAAGUUUUUUCAUGCAAAUAAGUUGCAAUCUUUGAGAAUUCAACAUGGUCAAUCAUAUAACGGAGUUAGAGUAAUAUGACAAAUCAAUAAUUUGUAAAUAUCGACAUGACAAAACGCUUAAAAUUUUAAUUCAUAUGACAAAUAAAAAAAAGUGUAUAAAUUCAUAUAACAUUUCAAAAAAAAUUCCAUACUGAAUUUGCACGGUAUGAUUAGUAACAAUUAGGGUUAAUCACAUACAUCAAACAACUAGGGUUAAUUAUAGGAGAGAAAAUAAGGGCAACAAUGGGAGUGGACGAAAGGUGAAAGGGGAAAUUAGUUUCUUUGAAAUGGGGUGGGGGGAGACCUACAGAGGGAUAAACACGACACAAACUUGCAUGUAAAUUUCUCUAAUGUAACUAAUGAAUCAAAUAAAAAAUCAUUAAUUUAUUUGAUAAGAAUAUAAGCUACUUAAAUGUUUAAUUAAGAGCUCGUUCGGCAUUGCUUCGCUAAAAACGCUUCAGCUAAAAGUGCUUUUAUUAUACCCACAUUAAAUCUUAUUAAAAAAGGAAAACUAAUUAAAAGGGUUUGAAAACUUUGAGUUUUAACGAUAAGGACAAAAUAAAGGGUAAAAUGAAUAGUAGCAGAUUUGACUUUUUAGUGUAAAAAUGUGAUUUUUCAUUAAAGUGAACAUUACCGUGGGCUUUUUGUUAAAACUCCCUAUUAAAAAUUCAAGUACUUUAUAAAAAGACACUUUGGAAUGCUUUCUUUCAUUUCCCGAUUGUUUCUUCUUCAUCGUUAAAGCUUCCAAUAUUGAGAUCAGAUAACCUUAAAUCUGUUGCAAGGUUGGACCUCAUCAGAUGAGUAAUCGCUUAACUCUGAAUCGUCGUCAGAGUCCUCCUCAUCAAACUCAUAUGGUGUAGUCUGCUAGUCCUCCUCCUCAUCAGUAUCUUCAUCAGAAUCAUAUGGCAAACGCUUAUAGUCCACUUCUAUCAGAUCUGAAAGUACAUAUUCCCAUUCUACGAUAUCCACUCCUAUUUUCUUCACCUUAAUUUGAUGAUCAUUAAAGUAUGCAAGCACACGAACCCUGUCGCCACCUUUCAGAUUGAGCUCCUUGUUUGUAAGAUUUCCCAUCCAAAGAUAACAUUCAUGGGAAGCAGUUACGGUGGCCUCCAUUGGCCAAAUGUGAAAACGAGUUCCCAGGGUACGAUUAACAACAUGAAUGCAUAGGGACCCAGUACAGUCUAACUUGUCUGAAGAAUAAAUGAUGCACACAACCAACCCUCCUAUAUAAGCAAAAGUAGGCGGCAUUUCAAUUUUGACAGUUUCAUCAUCUCGCGCGAAAUAGGGUAACGAGCGAGGAAUAUCAUUUACAGAGAGAGAAAGUCCACCAAUUACAUCCCCCUUCCAUUUCUACAACAUGAGGUGCAAAGUUAGUAUAAGCAACAAUACGAAAAUCAGAUAGGGAGAGCGAAAGUUCCAUACCAAUAUGAUGUUCUCCUUAAAAGUGGUAGUGAGACUGGUGCACCCUUCCAUAUGAAGGGUAUACAUGUCGUUGUUGCACAAGAAGUUAUCCAGGUUUGGAAUAUCUUUGAGUUUGCAGCAGUCUUUCAAUUGCAAUAUAAUCAUUUCCGACAUCUUUGAAAGGUCGGGCAUACUUUCCAGUUCAGUGCAGUAAUUCACUUCCAGUCUAAGAAAACUUGUCGGCAAAUCUGGGAUUGCCUGAAGGUUUGUGCAAUGAUUUAGAUAUAAAGAUUUAAGCUGGGAAAGGCCACUGAGGAUGGGUAGCCUUGUUUGGGUUAAAACUUGAAAUUUGGGCUCAAAAGGGAGUUGGCCCAAGAGAAGGUCUAGAAUGAGAGAAGCCCAAAGCUCAGCCGAAGCCCAGAAAGCAGAAGAGGCCCUUUCCCGACUAAGUGCAAAUCAUUUGCACCACUUGCUCACCUACCUAGAGGUUAAGUGGUGUAGACCAGCUAACUAAUCAGCCCAAAAGUACUUUAUAAUGGCAGUACAAGUAAAUAGUUGAUGAGUCACUGCCCUUCAAGCUACAUUCAGGCAAGAUUAAUGCUACAGGAGGCCAAGCCAAACUGUCUAUAAAAGAAGAAAGAGAAAUCAGAGAUAAACACACUCAAACAAACAAACAAAUACACAAACUCUGCUCAAACCAGAUUUGCAUACAAAGCUGUAGUCAGCAUCAAGCCUUCAUCCCUUUCGGGAUCAACCUUCACCAAAAGCCUUUGUAAAAGCUCUGCUACCUUGUCUAAAUCUUGCUCUAGUAUCAAUUUCCUUCUGUAAACUCACCUCCCUAUCCCCCUCUCUAGCUCUCAAACCCUUUUGUAAAUCACAAAGAUAGGAAGUUGCAAGACGAUCAGCCUUGCCCGACCCUCUUUGUUUUUGUCUUUUCAUUCAUAAAUCUAGUAAUAUGUUGUAUACUGCCAUUUGUAUCCAAGUUAUUUCUAGCAAGUUUAUGAUUAAAAGACUUCUCAGUUCUUGAAUCCGAUCGGGUUAAUAGUGCCCAACCAUGCAAAAGAUAAGUUGGAAUAUGCACUCGCAGCUUAAUAAGAUCUAAGUUCUAAUCUCUCGGGCGUACAAGAUUGAUUAUUCAAAAGUCCUUAGUCUCAAGGCAUAAAAAAGAACUUUAUGUGGACUUAAUCCAUCCACGACAAUCCUUGAUAACAAGAAGUCCGAAGUUGCUUGGGGCGCAAGUAAUCGACUUAUUUAUUAGUUUUAUCUCUGUUAUAUUAUAAUCAUCAUAGAACGUUUGAGAAUAGAAUUAAUUCUGAUAGGAAGCCUUAAGGCUUAUACCUAAGGCCCUACAAAGGCACCUAUUUGAGUUCAUUCUGCUCUUCAGGCUCGGGUGAUUAGAAGUAUAAUAGUUAUAAUACUCUGCAACAAUGAAACAACCAUUAUAUGUUCGAGUACUUGGUUAGUUCUUGAUUGUGAGCCUCAAGGCCUACACCUAAGACCCCACAAAGGCACCUUUCAUAACUAAAAUAGUCUAUCGGGCAUAUAUAAAAUUAAACUCAACAUCUGUUUUACAUCUGCCAUAUUAAAGAUGGCAGUGGCACGCCUGAGCACUUAAAAGUUAAUUUUGAUUGUGAGCCUCAAGGCCUACACCUAAGGCCCCAUAAAGGCACCUUUCAAAGUUAACUCUGUCAUUCUCUUUCAGCCUUGCCUGACAGGCCUUGCACGACAAGCCCACCAGUAAGCAGAAGCCCGACAGACAGUAUCAACCGGCGCCAACCUCUCGGGGAGCUGUGUGCUCGUUCGCUAAGAAACGUCCUCAUCGGAAAUUUUAGUGACGAACAUAGUUUUGGCACGCCCGGUGGGAUUCGUUAAUCAGAUCUUACUUGCCAAAGAAAUAUGUCAAGAAAACCUGAAGAUUUGAAAAGGGCAGUUGUUCCAGAAAAAUUUAAUGAAGACUUGCAAACUACCUUGUUGCAAAUGUUGCAGAGAUUGGAAAACGCCUCCACGGGCUUUAGAAGGAAAACAAACCUGGUUAUAAAACCAACUAUUCCUAUAUCUUUACCUCUAGUUGGGGACAAAGAUGAUGGGGAAGAAGAAAGAGGAAAAACCAGCCAGCCAGAGGAAGCAGUGGUGGAUAAAUACACAGAUCCUUUCUCAGAGGCCCUAGUAAAUAUGAUUAAUUUGGCAUGGGCCGAGAAGGGGAAAGAAAAAGUAGCAAUGGAAAUAGAAGAAGGAAAACCGGGUGACAAAUCCACAAAAGGGGUAAUCAAAGUGCCUGAACAUCCAAAAGCAGCUAUAAUCAAAGGGAUGGUUCUUUGCAGUAAAUGCCAAUGUGAGUGUGAGCUCGAAAUACCGCUAGCUGGAAUCCUCAUGGAUCAUGAGUUGAUCAGGAGGAAAGAAGAAGAAGAAAGAAAGGAGGCCCGCGAGAAAGCUAGGAGGACAACAGGGAGAGAUACUUCCCGAAGUGUUUUUCAGCGGUUAUGAGGUGAUUCCCAACCUAGAACUUUAUCAGAAAUAUUUCGAAAUCAUGAAGCUUCUGAGGAGGAGGAAGACAAGGAGGCCAAAAAUCCAAAAGAGAAGGGUAUAGAGCAUCCUCAAUAUGGCCAUAUGGGAAGAGAAGUCAAGAGGAAUGAUAGGAUAACAAAUCCUGUCAAAAAAUAUAAUCCUGCCCGCCUCGGGCGAAAAUGGUACAUGGUUGGAAAUAAUGGACAGCCCACCAAACAAAUGGGAGCCUCUAUGGUCAUAAGGGUCCAAAGGCAGCACAAAGCCUACAUGAACUUUUUAAAGAACCCCGCGACUUCUGAAGCAUCCAAGAAUCAAAAGUUUGAAAAAACAUCAUCUGGGGGGAGUAGUCAGUUCCACUGGAUAAGUAAAAAAGAGGUGGAGAGGGCUAAUAGCAAAACAGAAGGCGAGGGAAACCAUGUACCACAAAGCCUACAUCCUGGAAAGUACAAAAUAUUGAGGAGAGCUCAAGAAGAUAUGAUAAUGAUGCCAACUCCCGGAUGGAAGACAUAACCUAUUUGUUUUGGAACUGUUUCGCCCGAAAUGAGACCACUUUCUCUAUUUUUGGUGGAUUCUUUCGGUAAAAUUCCAAAGCAAAUACCGCAUUCGGGCAUGAAUCAACAGGAGGGGGCACCAGAACCACUACUCCCAAAAGAUGCGAUGACCUGGUUGGAUGAGUUCAUGGGCCAGAUCGAAAGCAAGAAAGAAGACCUUCCAGAGCCUAGCAAUUUUCAUAUCAAUAUGGCGUAUGUGUUAUCCGCCAUGUUUGGUGUCGAGCCUAAUCAGCCCGCCACUAUGGAAGGGGACUAUAUGACAACGGAGCCAAUGAUGGCCCAUGUCAGUGUUGAGGUAGCUGGAGAAAGAAAGUCGGGAAAAGCUGAAUCAUCUGAAGCAUCCAAUGAUGGUCCUUUAAGGAUUUAUACAGAUAAAAUGGUGUUCAGUCGCCCAAACAUGUUGCUAGCCAACCACCUUAAGCCAAUAUAUGUUGCAGCACAUUUGAAGGGGGUGCCUUUUAAAAGAAUUUUAAUUGAUGGAUGAGCGGCUGUUAACGUACUGCCAGACAAGCAAAUGAAGAAGAUGAGGAGAUGUAUAAAAGAUCUUAUUCCCACGGACCUCACGGUUUCAAGCUUCUCGGGCGCCAUCACCAAAACUCAUGGAAUAUUGCCCUUAGAAGUGGACUUGGGGUCCAAACAAAUCAUGUUGGCAUUCUUUGUGGUGGAUUGCACUUCCACCUAUAGAGCAUUACUUGGAAGGGACUGGAUCCACCAAAGUCUCGCCAUACCCUCCACUCUACAUCAGCAAGUAGUUGUUUAUCAUGAGACAGAGACAGAGGGACCAGGCUUUUGGGAGAUGGUAGAGGCCGAAUCACGGCCAUUUCUCCUUACAGCCAAUGUUGCGGAGGCAAGUUUCUACAAUCCCAACGUAGGAAUUCUGAAAUGUUCAUGAGCAGAUGAGAACGGCCGCCCUACCAAGGUGACGGCCCAAAAGCUCUUAGAACAAGGAAUGCUCCUUACUAGAGAGGAGUGGGAUAGACCCUGUAUCGUCUCAACGCCCCUACACCAUCAAUGACAGAACAAAAAAGGAAGGAUCAGGUAAUGGUAGUUAAGUCCCUGAUAAAAAAACUAUUGGUAUAUGGGAGAGAAAGAAAGCAAGAAAGGGAGCUCUUAGAGAAAGAAGAGCAGGAAGGGUAGCUAGGAACUCCAACCAACCAUGGUGAAAUCGGAGAAGAGCUUUACGGAGAAGAAUUGGAUGUGGCCAUACGAAUGGCCGAUUGCAUAUAUGACUUGGAUGGGCCAGACGACUUGCCCGAAAGCCCGGAGUUAGUUGAAUUUUUGUGCACAGAACCUGACAAAGCACUUCCAGAGGUUCAGGAUCCUUUGGAAGUCAUUGAUUUGGGAACAGAAUGAGAUCCAAGACCUAUUAAAAUUAGUGGCUUGUUAGAGACUAAUGAUCAGGCAAAGAUUAUCUGUCUUCUACAAGAAUUUAAAGAUUGUUUUGCUUGGCACUAUACUGAGAUGCCAAGUUUAUAUUCAACCUUGGUGGAACACAGAAUGCCCAUCAAUGAGGGGUAUAAACCUGUUAAGCAGACGUCACGAAGGAUGUCAAAGGAAAUAGAAGAAAAGGUCAAAGAAGAAAUUAAAAAACUAGUGAAAGCUGGAUUUAUUAGACUUGCCAAGUAUGUAGAAUGGUUGGCCAACAUUGUACCCGUUUUAAAAGUUAUAACUAAAGCAGUACGAUGUUGUGUUGAUUACAGAAAUAUUAAUGGCGCUACACCAAAAGAUGAAUACCCCAUGCACAUGGCUGACCUAUCCAUAGAUGCAGUGGCAAAACACAAAAUCUUAUCUUUUAUGGAUGGAAAUGUCCGGUAUAAUCAGAUAAAGAUGGCCCAUGAAGAUAUACAAAAAUAGUUUUUAGGUGUCCUAGGCAUGUGGGGCAUAUGAAUACCUGGUUAUGCUAUUCGGGUUCAAGAAUGCUGGUGCAACCUACCAAAGGGCAAUGAAUGCCAUCUUUCAUGAUUUGAUUGGCCAGAACAUGGAGGUGUACAUCGAUGACAUCGUGGUGAAAUCCAAAACAGAAGAGCAACAUCUAACAGACCUCAGGCAAGCUUUAACAAGGAUGAGGAUCCAUAAGCUAAAAAUGAAUCCAAAGAAGUGCGCAUUUAGAGUGAGAGCGGGCAACUUCUUGGGAUUCCUGGUUCAUAAAAAAGAAGUAGAAGUGGACAAGAACAAAUCUCGGGCAAUAAUGAAGUCGCCUUCACCCACCAACAAAGUACAACUUCAGAGGCUGCUAGGCAAAAUUAAUUUCUUGAGGAGAUUCAUUGCCAAUUUAGCGGGCAAGAUCCAACCACUGACUCUUCUGCUGAGACUAAAGGAUAAAGAAACUUUCGAGUGGGGACUACCACACCAAAAGGCUUUUGACAGCAUCAAAGCCUAUUUGACUUCUCCACCAGUGUUGGUACCACCUCAAAGGGGAAAACCCUUAAAGCUAUAUAUCUCUGCUUCAGAAAAAUCAAUCGGGAGUCUACUAGCUUAAAACAAUGAAGGCGGGAAAGAGCAGGCAGUGUACUACCUCAGUAGAAUUUUGACUGAGGUAGAAACAAGAUACUGACCAGUAUUUCACUCAUAUAUCUAGUAAUAUGUUGCAAGACGAUCAACCUUGCCCGACCCUCUUUGUUUUUGUCUUUUCAUUCAUAAAUCUAGUAAUAUGUUGUAUACUGCCAUUUGUAUCCAAGUUAUUUCUAGCAAGUUUAUGAUUAAAAUACUUCUCAGUUCUUGAAUCCGAUGGGGUUAAUAGUGCCCAACCAUGCAAAUGAUAAGUUGGAAUCUACACUCGCAGCUUAAUCAGAUCUAAGUUCUAAUCUCUCGGGCAUACAAGAUUGAUUAUUCAAAAGUCCUUGGUCUCAAGGCAUAAAAAAAAACUUUAUGUGGACUUAACCCAUCCACGACAAUCCUUGAUAACAAGAAGUCUGAAGUUGCUUGAGGCGCAAGUAAUCGACUUAUUUAUUAGUUUUAUCUCUGUUAUAUUCUAAUCAUCAUAGAAUGUUUGAGUAUAGAAUUAAUUCUGAUAGGAAGCCUCAAGGCCUAUACCUAAGGCCCUACAAAGGCACCUAUUUGAGUUCAUUUUGCUCUUCGUGCUCGGGUGAUUAGAAGUAUAAUAGUUAUAAUACUUCUGCAACAAUGAAACAACCAUUAUAUGUUCGAGUACUUGGUUAGUUCUUGAUUGUGAGCCUCAAGGCCUACACUUAAGGCCCCACAAAGGCACCUUUCAUAACUAACACAGUCUCUCGGGCAUAUAUACAAUUAAACUCAACAUCUGUUUUACAUCUGCCAUGCUAAAGAUGGCAGUGGCACGCCUGAGCACCUAAAAGUUAAUUUUGAUUGUGAGCCUCAAGGCCUACACCUAAGGCCCCAUAAAGGCACAUUUCAAAGUUAACUUUGUCAUUCUUUUUCAGCCUUGCCCGACAAGCCUUGCCCUACAGGCCUUGCACGACAAGCCCACCAAUAAGCAGAAGCCUGACAGACAGUAUCAACCGGUGCCAACCUCUCGGGAAGCUGUGCGCUCGUCCGCGAGGAAACGUCCCCAUCGGAAAUUCUAGUGACGAACAAGCCUAUUAAAACCAUUUCCAUCUAGUUUUAAAGUCUCUAAAGAAGGUAGACUCCGAAGGCUUUCAAGAAUGGCAUCAUCCGUUAUAUUGCAGUCACUAAGAUCUAAAUACUGAAGCAUCUUCAGUAGUGCAAAUAAAUGGUAACCCCCAGACACACCCUUACAUCUGUUGAGGCUCAAAUACACGAGAUGUGGGAGUUUUGAAAAGUCUGGUAAUUGAGUCAGGUUACGGGAAUGAUUGAGAUAAAGAAACAUCAACUUCUUCGGCAACUGUUUGGCAAAAAGAGAGAACAAAAAUCAUAAUCCAUAUUAUAGAGAAAGAGAGAUAGGGGGAGAGAGAAAGAGAGAGAAUGACUGUCGACUGGUAUUUAAAAAACACGGACGAGUAAAGGAUUAAUAAUUUGGUUGAGGUUAUGACAAUUAUAUGUAUCGUACCAGGUCGGAAUCCUCCCAAACUCGGACAAGCUUGUUGUAGCCCAAGUCAAUAAAAACUAAGUUUCGUAAAUCAAAAUCUUCGGGUAUGACCUCUAGAGGAAAUCCAUGCCAACACAAAAAUCUUAACUCCUUGGAAAGAUGACGGUAGCUUCCAGUGAGCUUUACAUAGUGGAGUUGGAGAAAUUUCAGAUGCCACAUCUUAUUAAAUGCUUUUGUGCGGAAGGGAUGGUCAUGAGUGUUUUCAGGCAACUCUAAAGUUAGCCCUCUAAUUGCUUCUGUUCCCUGUUAGGGGAAAACAAAAACAAAUCUAAUUCAAGCAAAGCCAUGACUAUCUAUGAAUGAACUACAAAUGCAGCACAUACAAUGCAUUAGAUAGGGGAUAUGCAUAUGCUUCUGUUUAUUUACAUACAUUCAACUUAUACAUUUUUUAUUGGGAUUUGGGAAAGUACUUACAUAUUCGUCUCUAAACACGCUUGUUAUGUCUUCAUGAUGCCACAAUCGACUACGUUUUCCAGGUUCCGUAGCACAUUCUACCCGCACAAUUUCUCUUCCCAUGUCUUGAAUCAAAUCAUGCAUCUUGAAGAAUGAUGAAUCAAAAUCUAGAAGACAUUGAUCUUGAAGAGUUCGGAUUUCUGAUUCUACACAAAAGCGACUACAAUUAUCCAAUAUUGCCACGACUUCAAUUCCAAAUGAGUUAAUAAAGAUAUGAGAUAUGUCAAGGAACACAAGCUUAAUCUAAGUGUUUCAUGAAUUUUUCCAUGUGUAAUGUUUCUCAAUUUAUCCAAUGUCAUUUUCCAUAUGCUUUUACUCUUUUUCAUAGCCAACAAAUGGCCUACGACUUUAAAAGCUAGCGGCAAUCCUCCACAAUAAUCGACAACAUCUGUUGCGAGUUCAAUAUAUUCUUUAUCAGGACAAUGAUUUCCAAACGCAUGCCAACUAAGGAGUUCAAGAGCUUCUUCAUCUGUCAUCGUUUGUGCCUUAUAAAUUUUAUCCACCUUCUGUAUAUUCAACACUUGUUCAUCUCUUGUUCAUCGUUUGUGUCAUCAACUACGAUUAGUACCUUCAUGCUUCCAAGUCUUUUCUCUAUCUCCUUGGUCCUUUCGGCAACACUACUUAUUUUAAUGUCAGGUCGUUUCAAAAUAUCUAGAAGAAAUUGUUCUUGAAGACUAAUCAUAUUUUUCUUUUUACUCCUCACCUCUUCAAGGUAACAUUGACCACGGAAACUAUGAUGGUAUGUGACAUAUGCUGCCCAUACACUGAAUUCCAAUUAUUUGAACGUCCUGUGAACCUCCAACAUCUAAGUAUUUAGUACCGAAUUCUUCCACGCUAAAAGUUAUUCCAACUGAGUGCUUGGCUUCUUUUGAGUUACUGGUUUUUAGUAGUCCGAUGAUGUCCCCAACAACUUUCUGGAUAAAUACUCCUUCACGCCUGCCAAUUGGAAAUCCAAAUUAUGCAAACAGAUGAUUAAUCAUGCAACAACAUGAUUCAUAUGAACUAAAUGCCUUAUGGAUCACGACUUGGCUGAUUAGUGAGUGUCCCAAAAUCUAAUUGUACAAGAUGUUGCAAGCGAUUAAAUUUUGUAAAAGAGGAAAUUUAACAUGAUACCUGUCCGCAGUGGUUUUAAGAUCAUUGCCAACCAAAUCUGUAGAAGCCUUAAGAUCUUUGCUCCACUGCUCGACCUCAUUUGGGUCUUCAUCCCUUUCAUGCUUCUGAAAUGCCUCCCCUCUUGAUCUUCUCGGCACCUCAUGAUCAUCGACAGCUCCCUCAGGCACCAUCGGGACUCCGCGUAACUCUUUGAGAAGACGACAACCGCAAUCUUCGACCCUUCAAUUUCUCAAUCAAGUUUUCUCUGUAUAUUCUCCCCCUUUUUGAGCUCGUAGUCUAUAAACAUGUUGAUUCCAGCACUGCUUAACGCAAUGGAUAGGUGGUUUGUGAACCCAGUGCGUGUGUCCUCGCCUCUAAAGCUCAGGAACACCUUGUACUUCCAGCGGUUUGAACGCCGAGAGGAAGACGAACCGCCGGCGGCUGCGGCGGCGGUUGCAAGGGCGGGGCUGCUGGUAUUCAUUGAUUUCAAGUAAAGAAGUGAAACUCCUGAUCGUUUCAGUCUAAAGAAAACAAGUCUUCCUAUGAUCCUAUCAUUUUCCUUUAUACAUCCAGAUAUCCUAAAAUUCCUCGCGUGGGCGGCAUUUUCUAUCCCUAUAUACGUGCAAAUUGUUAGACCGAGUCAAUCUUAUCCCAAACUAAGCUCUGCAACAAACUCUUCAUAGGAUAAGAUUGCUAAGUUCAGUUUCAGUUUUGAAUAAUUCAAAGAUAAACUGUUGUGAUUUUGUAUUUUUGAAUUCAAAGUUAUCAGUGUAAAUAGGGUAUUCAAAACCCUAUGGCUCCAUUAUGUGUCCUCCUAAGACUUUGGCUGGCACCACUGACGUUAACCCAGCCUACAUGACUUGGAUUCAACAUGAUCAGAUGAUUCUCAGUUGGAUCAACAACUCUCUCACUGCUUCUGUUUUGUCGACAGUAGCAAGCAAACGCAUGUGCCGUGCAAUCUGGGAAGCAUUGGAACAGCGGUAUGCGUCAACUUCCCAGAAUCGUAUAUUGUUUCUGCGUAUAGAACUGCUGCAGACGAAGAAAGGUGACCUCUCUGUAGCUGACUACUUGGAUCGUAUGAAUGCGAUCGCCGACAACCUUGCUCUGGCCGGACAACCAGUAAGCGAUGAUGAACUGGUUCAAAUUAUUUUAAAUAAUCUUGGUCCUGCAUUCGAGAUGACUGUGAAUGCAGCACAAGCUCGUGAUACUCCAAUCACUUAUCCAACACUUGAAGCUCUUCUGCUAACAACGGAGAAACGGAUGACGGAGCAAGCUGUGUUGAUUGAAACUGCUCCGAUCAAUGCUUUUGUAGCGUCACGAGGCCGUGGUGGUCGCUCUCGUGGCAAUGGACGUGGAGGCUCUCCGUUCAAUCGUGGUGGUGCCAUCAACAAUGGCAAUCAACGAGUUGGUAUUCCUCGCAAUAACAACAAUCAACGUGGUGGUGCGUCUGCAAGUACUGGUGACCGGUGCAACCUUUCUGGAGAACGCAUCAAAUGCCAAAUUUGUGGCAAACCUGGUCAUCCGGCUCUGGACUGUUACCAGCGGAUGAAUACAGCUUAUGAAAGACGCAUCCUCACCAAUCGUCUUGCUGCCAUGGCGUCUUCUCAAGUGAUGCCUAAUAAUGGAAAUUGGCUUCUUGACACGGGUGCCAAUGCUCAUGUCACCCCAGACCUUCAGAAUCUUGCAAAUCCAAAAGAAUACACUGGUAAUGACAACAUUGGUGGAGUAGGUAAUGGUUCUCAACUUUCCAUUGCACAUUCUGGUUCGAAUCAAAUUUCAACUAAGUCUUACUCAUUUAACCUCCAUGACAUUUUACAUUGUCUAUCCGCAUCCACUAAUAUCAUUUCGGCACACAGAUUCACCCUAGAUAACCAUUGCUACAUACUAAUAUUUCCUUAUUUCUUCCUUGUUAAGGACCUCAAAACCCGGAAGACGCUUUUCCGCGGGAGAUGUGAGAAUGGAUUAUAUCCAUUUCCUGGUGGCGGUGGAUUGUCCAACUAUCCUAUUUCAGUGUGUGUCGGUGUUAGAGUCUCACCUCAUAAAUGGCAUUUACGUCUUGGUCAUCCUGCUUCGUCAAUUAUUAAAUUUUUGAUUGCAAAUAACCAAGUACCAUCAUCUGGUACAAGUACUGUAACGUUUUGUGACUCUUGUCCAUUAGGCAAAAGCACUAAACUUCCCUUUAGCAAGUCUGUGUCCGUGUCUUAUUGUCCAUUAGAACUUUUGCAUUCUGAUGUUUGGAGUUCACCUAUUAUUUCUAAUGAAGGUUUUCGUUAUUACUUGUUGUUUGUGGAUGACUACUCACGAUAUUCGUGGAUCUUUCACAUGAAAAAUAAAUCUGAAGUGUUUGGAAUUUUUGUGACAUUUAAAACACAUGUUGAAAAAAUGUUUAACAAAUCUAUUAAAGCUCUUCAAUGUGAUGAAGGUGGUGAAUACAUGAGUCGCGAUUUCAAAACUUUUCUUGCUACACAUGGGAUUUCCCAACGUUUUUUCGUGUCCAAACAUCCUGAACAAAAUGGAAUUGCCGAACGAAAGCAUCGUCAUAUAGUUGAAACAAGUGUUACAAUGCUUCUCAUGCUCAUAUGCCUCAAAAAUUUUGGUUCGAUGCAUGUUCCACAGAUGUUUAUAUUAUAAACAGGCUUCCAACAAAGGUUUUAUCUAACGUGUCUCCCUAUGAAAAAUUGUUUCAAAAGAAUCCAAAAUAUAAGGCAUUUAAAGUGUUUGGUUCAAAAUGUUUUCCACUGUUGACUCCUUAUACACGGCAUAAACUUCAACCAAAGUCCAAACCAUGUGUUUUCUUAGGAUAUUCACUGAAUCAUGAAGGAUACAAGUGCUUGGACUUAUCCACGAGAUGCAUUUACGUGUCUCGCCAUGUUUUAUUUGAUGAGGAUUCCUUUCCUUUCAAGGAACUUGCAUCUCCCAAGGACGACGUCACUAUCACAGGUACACCUUUGACCCCUGACUUGAUUUUAACCACAACACCCUCAUCAACCUUGGUACCUUCCAUAUCUUCACCAAAUUUUGUCGAAUCUCACCCUAGCCUCAACCACCAGCCUGAGUCAAACUUGGUGUCUAGUGAUCAGCCGCAUAUCACGCCAACUUUUACUCCCCAGCAAACUGUUUCAAAUUUGGACCUUACUCCUCCUCCACCUAUCACUACCAUCCCUUGUUUAAAUAGGACACCUCAACCUAGUUCAACAUUAGGUCCCACCAAUGAGCAAGACUUGGUUCACAUUCCAUCCGUGCAAAGUUCUCAGAAUCCUUCUCAUUCAUCAAUUUUAUCUACCACAUCAUCUUCCAUACGAGAGACUACUCUCCCCCACUCAAUAACAACAAGGUCAAAAUCUGGGAUUCAAAAGCCAAAUCCAAAAUACGCUUUGCAUGCAAUCGCUGACUCCAAGUUUGUUGAGCCGUCUUAUUUUAGUCAAGUUAUUAAAUAUCCAGAAUGGAGGGCAGCAAUGGCACAAGAGUUCAGUGCUUUGCAAAUGUGUGGAACAUGGACGCUUGUUCCUUAUUGUCCUGGAAUGAACCUGCUGCCAAACAAAUGGGUGUUUAAAAUCAAGAGACGUACAGAUGGUUCUCUCGAACGUCACAAGGCUCGACUUGUGGCUAAUAGUUACCAUCAGCAAUCCGGAGUGGAUUAUAAUGAAACAUUUAGUCCAGUCGUGAAACACAGCACCAUUCGGCUUGUUUUAAGUCUUGCAGUGUCGAAGAAGUGGACGGUGCGACAGUUAGAUGUACAGAAUGCAUUCUUGCAUGGCUAUUUGGAUGAGGAUGUGUACAUGAAACAGCCGCCAGGUUUUCUUGAUCAGCAGUAUCCUAAUUAUGUGUGUAAAUUGCAGAUAAGUUUGUAUGGAUUAAAACAGGCUCCCAGAGCCUGGUUUCGAAGAUUCUCGGAUUAUCUGCUUCAACUUGGGUUUGAAGAAUCAUUAUGUGAUUAUUCAUUGUUCGUGUUUAAUCAACGAGGCGUUUACUUGAUCUUACUUAUCUAUGUGGAUGACAUUCUUCUUACAAGCAAUAAUGAUAAACAAAUGCAAUGGUUGAUAGAGAAGCUCGACACUUUGUUUUCUAUGAAGGACUUAGGUCCUUUAAGUUAUUUUUUGGGUGUCGAGGUUACUUAUUCUGGGGAGAAUAUGCAUCUUACACAGUCCAAGUAUGCGUUGGAUCUGUUGGAGCGCACCAAGUUUACUGCUGUCAAACCAGUAUCCACUCUUGUACCUACGGGACAAAAGCUCAGUCAGUAUACUAGUGAACCUUAUUCUAAUCCCGAAUAAUAUCGAACGAUUGUUGGAGCGUUACAAUACUUGACGAUCACCAGACCCGAUCUUUCUUAUGCUGUGAACCAGGUUUGCCAGUUCAUGCAUAUGCCUCGGACUACACAUUGGAUGGCGGUUAAGAGGAUUUUGCGGUAUUUAAAGGCCACACAUGAUCACGGUCUUGUCUACAAACCUGGUGAUAUUCGGUUAAAUGCUUUCUCUGAUGCUGAUUAUGCGGGAAAUCCGGACACACGUCAUUCAACUGGUGGCUUCUGUAUCUAUUUGGGCACGAAUUUGAUUUCCUGGAGUUCAAAGAAACAGAAGACUGUCUCAAGAUCUAGCACAUAGGCUGAGUAUAGGCAGCUUGCUUAUACUGCCGCUGAGUUGUCAUGGUUAGGAAGUUUGUUUCGAGAUCUCCAUCUCUAUCUUCCAUGGCCGCAGAUAUGGUGUGAUAAUGUUUCGUCCAUUGCUUUGGCUUCCAAUCCAGUUUUCCAUGCACGGACGAAACACUUGGAAGUGGACUACCAUUAUGUACGCGAAAAUGUGGUCCGUGGACAGCUUUUGGUUCAUUUUAUUUGCUCCCAAGACCAGAUUGCCGAUUUGUUCACCAAGGGUCUUUCCUCUUCACGCUUCAACUUGUUAGUUUCCAAGCUUCCCGUCGUUGCUCGACCUGUCAGCUUGCGGGGGGAUGUUAGACCGAGUCAAUCUUAUCCCAAACUAAGCUCUGCAACAAACUCUUCAUAGGAUAAGAUUGCUAGGUCCGGUUUCAGUUUUGAAUAAUUCAAAGAUAAGCUGUUGUGAUUUUGUAUUUUUGAAUUCAAAGUUAUCCGUGUAAAUAGGGUAUUCAAAACCCUACUUGUAAUCUGAAAGUAUUGUAUAAAUACACUGCGACCCAUCGUUAUAUGGGUGUGCAAUCAAAAGCUGAAAACCCUAGUGCUCUAAGUUUUACACAAAUAUCCCCUCGAUUCCCAAAUGUAGGCGGCAGUUUCUAUCCCUACAUACGUGCAGAAAUCCCCAAGAUUCUCCAAUGCAGGCGACAUUUUCUAUCCCUAUACGUACAGAUAUCUCCAAAAUUCCUCAAUGUAGCGGCAUUUUUAAAGUUUUUGCAUUGGUCAAUGAUGUCAAUAACGCGUGAGUGCUAUUCUUCCCACAGUUUAAUUUGUCAAAGCCAUACAAAAUAUAAAAUAAAAACCCUGAUGAGAAAUUUUUCGUUGUAACCGGAACACGGGAGGUAUACUACGUGUUUUUAUAUAAGUUGAGGAAAAUUUUAUUUUUUAAGUUAUUAACUUUUUAACACAUAUAUCCCACCAUUUAUAUAGUAACACGUGAUGUACCACCUCGUGUACCGGUUUCUCCUCUCUUUCCCGUCCCUCCCAUCUCUCUUUCGUAUUCUCAAUCUCUAUCUUCUGAUGGAGGUAAUCACAUACAAACUCAUUAUAUUUUACUUGAGUAAAUAUGAAUUAAUUUUUUUAAUUUGGUACGUAAAUUUAGGUUUUCGAGUAGAAUAAUGUUAAGGAGAUCAAAAUUUCAAAUUAAAUUAUCUAUCAUCAAUAUAUAAUAAGCACGUUAAUCAACAUUUAAGUAAUAAUUCAAUCAUCAACAACCACAUUAUUUGGUUCACAAAAUUAUAUUUAAAAUUUUGGUCUUCCUAACAUUAUCCUUUCGAGUGAACAUCAAUUCAAUGAGUAUUUUUCUUCUUUACUAUUCUUAUAUAGUUUGGGCCGCUAAAAUAUUACAUUAUUGUGAUUAACUAGCGAAAAAUACAAGUUAAAAAUGAAUGUGCAACACAUUGAAACACAGGAGCUCAAGGGCCUAUUUCCAAUGACAUGCUCAGGCCACCGAAUUUUAUGGGCUGGCCCUGGUUCAAUCGUUGUUGGUCGACGUCAUAAUGGCAUUAUAAGAAUCUGCGGUACAAAAUAGGUUCCAACUGUCGAUGUCAGUUUAGAGAGUUUCACCAUUCUCAUCUCAUCUUAACUUUUCAAAAUCUUUUUUGAAAUGUCAUUAAUUUUCCAAAAUUCUUAAUUUGUCAUCUCAUCUUAUCUUCGUUCAGUUUUUCACCCAAAUAAGUUGGAUUCAAGGUUAUUUUUACUUCGCAAAAUCCUUAUUAGUCAUCUCAUCUUAAAGAGUGCAAAUAAAUGGAUGAUGCAAAUCUUAAAAAUCUUAGGGCUCUAUCUUUCUAACUAUUUUAGUUCUAGAUGUGGUUUCUUGGAGCUCCAUGAUUGCGUGUUACACUCAUAAUGGGGAUGUAAUAGAAGCGUUAAAUCUUUUAAACGAAAUGAUUGACACAAGAUUCGAACCUAAUUCAAUGACUCUGGUAACUGCAUUCCAAGCAUAUGCACUGGCAGGUAAUUUAGAAAAAGGUAAGAGGAUCUACGAAAUUGCUACUAGGAAGUGUUUCGAGUUAGAUAUCACGGUAGCUACAGCCCUGAUUGAUAUGUACAUGAAGUGCUCUGCACCCGAAAAAGCAGGUGAUCUCUUCAAUAGAAUGGCAGAGAAAGAUGUGGUUUCGUGGGCUGCCUUGUUGAGCGGGUAUGCUCAUAACGGAAUGGCAUACAAGUCAAUUAGGGUCUUUCGCGACAUGCUAUCAGACACAACUCAGCCUGAUGCCGUUGCUAUGGUCAAGCUUCUUGCAGCUUGUUCGGAAUUAGGGAUUCUUCAACAAGCUCUCUGCCUCCAUGCUUAUGUGAUUAAACGCGCCUUCAAGAAUAACAUCUUUGUUGGAGCUUCACUCAUAGAGUAAUAUUCGAAGGGUGGAAGCAUAGACAAUGCUGUCCAAUUAUUUGAAGGCAUAACAGACAAAGAUGUCGUUAUCUGGAGCGCGAUGAUUGCAGGUUAUGGAGUUGAUGGACAAGGAGAAGAAGCUUUAAAAGUAUUUGAUCGGAUGGUUAAGCACUCAGAUGUCAAGCCUAAUGAUGUAACAUUUCUCUCGAUUUUAUCUGCGUGUAGCCAUUUGGGUUUGGUUAGAGAAGGCAUCGAGAUCUUCAACACGAUGUUGCACGAAUACCAACUUAAGCCCGGACCUGAGCACUACGGGAAUUGUUGAUCUUCUAGGCCGGACAGGAGAGCUGGACAAUGGAAUGGAAAUCGUUGAGAGAAUGCCAAAUCCAGCUGCAGCGCAUGUUUGGGGAGCCUUGCUUGGUGCGUUCUGGAUACAUAAGAGGUUGCAGCAGAGAGUCAUUUUCGGUUGGAUCCUAAUUAUGCAGGGUAUUACAUCCUGCUCUCGAAUGUAUAUGCCAUGGAUAACAAAUGGGAAAAUGUGACAAAUCUUAGAACUUUGAUAAAGGGGAAGGCGUUAAUGAAGAUGUCCGGGCAGAGCGUUUUCGAGGUGGAGAGUGACAUCCGUAGUUUUGUUGCCGGAGAUGGAUUGCACCUUGAUUCUGAUCAGAUUUAUGUAGUGCUAGGAAAAUUAGAUACGAAAAUGAGAGCGGAAGGUUAUGUUCCCAAUGUCGAUCUUCUGCUAACAUGACAUGGCGGUUGGUAUCUAGAUUUGAAGUGUUGUGAAAUUUCUUGUAGGGAAAGUUUCGACCCACAUGAAAGGCGUAAUGAUAUGGACGCAAUCACGGAAAAUAAUAUAAUCCGGUUAUAUUUUAAAUAAGCAAAUAUAUUUUAGAAAUGUUAUCAAUAACAUAACCCACUGCAAAACCAAACUGUAGCACACAAUUCAUCACUGCUGUGACAACUAAGACAUUCCAAAUCACACAAGUUUACAUACAUUAGAAUAAAAUCCACAGUUAAUCACUGUUAAAUAUCAUUACAAAUAAGUUAAUUUUAGUUGGAUGCAGCCAUCCAACAACCAUGAUCCUUCAGCGCCCAAUGUCGGAUUUUCAAAAGCGACGAAACUCCAGACAGUCUCCUUUUUGGCCAUGCUGCUGCUGCUACUACUACUGUUACCACUUGGAAGUUGGAUGCUCAGAGUUUAUUUUCCCGUGAAUGGUGCGACUCUUGCCGGAGCAUUCUCGAGGCCAGUCACCACAUAAACUUCAAUCUGAAAUCACAAUCGUCACAAAUUUGAAGUUUAACUCCACUACCAUUCUCUCAACACCAAUUCGAUAUAAAUUAAACAAGAAUUGCCCCAAUCGAAAAUUGCAAUGCCGUACCCACCCAAAAGAAAAAAAAAAAAAAAAAACAACUCAAAAGAUCGUAGGAAUCGACGAAAUUAAAAAAAUAUAUACAUUCAAAUUCCUAUUACAAUAUGAAAAAGAUGGCAAAAACACACGUCAGGGUUAAAGGGAUCAAUGCAAGAAAACCAACCUUUUCUAGAGAUCGCGUUGGGAUUUGGUAGAGCCGUCCUCAAUUGGGCUUACGGAGGAAGAGCCUAAGACCUUGAAAAGAAGGAGUAGCAUGUCGAUCCAGCCGUGGAUUAGCACGUGACCGGAAACGUGGAUCCAGCCGUGGAGCAAGUCGAUGUGGAGCGGAGUGCGGUUGUCGUAGUCGGCGUGGAGGCCUGACUCAAAACCGUGGGCAUUGUCUGGAGAAAGACAUUGCCUUCGUGCUCAGGGUCUUGGAUGAGAGGAUUGGGAGGAGGAUUCUCUAUCCUCUUAACUCUUAUGCAAAAACAGCCACGUAAGCAUAUAAUAGUAAAAAAUGACAGUAAAUUCUUUUCAACCGAGCUUUCAAUUUCCUACGUGACGCUGAGUCAAUUGAAAACAAAGUAUUUUGCUGUCAAAUUUGACUGCAGAUGUCAAAUUUAUUAAAUAGUUUUUCAAUAGAUUAAUAUAAUAUAUAAUAAAUGUUAUUGUGUUUUUCAAGUUUUUGAUUGGUUGUCUCAAUCACUAAACCCCACAAAAGAUUAAAAACUUUAAUAAAUAACAUUAUUAUUUGACAUAUCGGGGUGAAGCAAAAUAUUUCAUAAAAUGUCAAAUUGCCAUGUAAGCUACUAAAUAUCAUUUUGAUGUUUAAAAUUUGACACCUUAUUUGGAGAUGCUUUUAAUCUCUCUACCCUUACAUGCUCUCUUAUUUGAAUGAUUACGGUUAAAUCACGUCAACAUUUUAUAUUAAUUUUUUUAUAGAGAUAAUAAGAUAAAAAGGGAUGGAAUGGAGUGAGAAUAUGAUGGUAGAGAAUCAUCUUUUGAUUGGGAGAAAAAUUUUCUACCGUUCUAAUCUCUCUACCCUCUUGAUGCCUUGAAUUCAUUGGAUUGAAGUGCAAGACUUUAAGGCCCUGUGUUGGCAUAUCGGAUAAGGUACCGGAUAGUACUAUUAAUACGGAGUACGGUGUUUGGUGUCCGUUUGAAUUAAAUAACCACCAGAUUAAAUAAUCCGACCCCACCUCCUUUAUCCGGCUGAUACCCGCUUAGUUAUACCGCCCAAAACCUCGGUAUCAUUUAGUCAGGUAGAAACACGCCUCUCUCACUCUCUCCAUCCCGCAUUGCUUGCCCUCUAAUAUGAAUCUCAGGUUCUUCUCCUCCUCCUCCUCCUCCUUUGUUCCGCCCUCCUGCAACUUCUCCUCCUCCUCCUUCUCUAAUCACCGCGAACGGCGUAAGAGGACAAUCGCGAUGGACUGACGAAACUCGAAUGGGAGAAGCAUAGUGCUUCAAAUUACAGAGAGUUCCUCUCGCCGCUCGCUCUACUCCUCUCACAUCGCAUGCUUUCUCCUCUGAAUCCAAGGUUCUUCCUCCACUUCUGAAUCUGAGAUUCUUCUUCCUCCUCCCUGUUCCGCCCUCCUCCUAUUUUUCUUGCAAUUUUUCUUCUUCUCUCUGUUCUGCCCUCUUAUUUUUCUUCCAACUUUUUUUUUCCAAUCAAAUUGAAUCAGAUUGUUGUUUUUCUCUCAAAUUUUUGCAAUUGAUUUUAUAAAUUUUCAAUUGCCAAAGAACCCAUCUACCUCCUUUGGGUCAUAUCCUUCAUAACCAUUCUACUUUUGCUAGGCUGAUUUGUAGCUAAAAAAAAGAGAGGAUUGGGAAAACUAAAAAAAAAAAGAGGAUUGGGAAAAAAAAACGAUGAGAAUUUGAAAGGAGGGUUUUGCUAGGUUUCUUGUUGCUGCCUUUGUGGUGGGGUUUAGUUCAGGGUAGCAGACGGGGAAGAAGAAGAAGGGAUAGAGAGGGAGGGAGUUUGGAGGGGUGCGGCGGAGAGAUCUGGGAACAAAAGAGAUGAUUUCAGUUUUUUUUUUUUUUUAUAAUUUUGUUUUAAGUUUGAUACUUCAUAUCUGGAAUAAUACCAAACAUAGUAUAAAUAAUAUGAUCAUUAGUCUGAUACUGUACCAAACGACCGAUUAAUUUAGUCAGUACUAUCCGGUGACUAUUUAUCAUAUUCGACAAAAAUAGUCAGUACAAUCCGAGCUGUCAAACGAGGCCUAAGAAUAUAAGAGUUUGAUCAGCUAUUCAGAUUUAAUCCAAUAACUUAUAUUGAUCUGCACGGAAGGCCCACAAAAUGCAAUCCGCACUUUAGAAAUGACGUUUAGCCUACCGUAUUUGGGCUUUCUCUUAUGUAACUAUGUUUAUGUGAAAACAAAGUAACCUUUUUAACCAAAAGAAAAGAAACAAAAAAGAAACAAAAAGAAAAAGUGCUGACUAGGCCAUGGGGAAGUAUUCAAUGCCAGAAGAAAGUGGGGAAUGGGAAAGCACAAGCAUUCAUUGCCAAGCUGUAGCCGGACAAUGUCAGAAUAAAUAAAUCAAUAAAUAACUAGUUUCCACUAAAGUGGACGUGGAAAGGCAUCUUGAUUUUUCAAAAAUUAACAAAAAAAAAAUAGCACUGAACACUUGCCCACGUGACAAGGUAUUCCAACCGAGUGGUUGACUGGUUUGUAGUCUCUGGAUUGUGUUAGUCCGAUUAUGCCCCCAAAUUGAAAGUUCAAAAUUUUUCUUAUCUAUUUAAGUGACCCGCUUCCCGAACUCGAAUCAUCUCUUGACAACUGGCCCUUAAAUAUGUAUCCUACUAUUAUAAUUAAUUUUAAUCUUUUUAAUGGAUUUCUCUUCUCUCUCCUUCCGUCUUUUCUUUCCCUUUCACUCCAUCUUCACUCCAUUAGUGGCUGCUCUCUCACAGAUGAAAAAUUGAAGCAAUAGAAGUAUCUGAAUGAUUAUACCAAGGCAACAUUUGUCCCGGAGAGCGAGAUGGGUGGAAGGCAGAAAAUUAAAGGAGAACUAAUAAAAAUGACUUGAAAGCUUUAAGUUUUAAUGAUAGGAACAAAAUAAAAGGGAAAGUAAAUAGUACUAUGAUUGACUUUUUAGUAUAAAAAUGUGGUUUUUCGUUAAAAUAAACCGUACCGGAAAUUUUUCGUUAAAGUUUUCAAAAAUUAAUUCCAAUUUUUUGCUCAAAACCAAGCCAUUAUGUUGUUGGUCUCAACCAUAAAUCAAAUAACUCAACAAAUUAGACGUCCCAAGACCCAAUCUUUAUCCCUGACCUUCAUCCCAAAACCUUGACUUCUUUAAUAAUUUAAAAAAUGAAAUUUCCCACCACAUCUAUUAAAACACGCGAUGUACAACUUGUGUUUCCGUCGCAAUUAAAAAUUUCUCAUGAUGGUGGAGUGCUUGUGUCGAUUAUAACCGACAACAAUGUUCUGUCAUCCGCCACUAUUUAAACACUGCAAAUAUUUUAUCCGACAUUAAUCAUUUAAAACCGCCACAACCUUCUGACACAUUAAAGCCAAUUUUGUAGUAGUGUUAGGCCAUCUCCAACCGAUGGCUGGCCAGAGGGCUCGUUUGAGCCCUAUGACCCUCCAAGAUUCUCCAAGAUAUUAAUAUUUUAAUGAACAAUACAUGGCCAUAUUUGCCUUCGUCUCCAACCGAGGGCCAAAGGGCCAGAUGACUCGUUUUAGCCCUCUCGCAAAAAACCAUCUACAACCGAGGGCCAAACAUAAUUUAUUAUUUAAAAACUACAACUUAAAUUCAAGUUAACUAUUUAAAAAUAGAAGUUAUAGGAAAAAAAAAAGAAUUAAAACAAAAUAUGAAACAAAUUUUGUGAAAUAGAAGUUAUAAGAAAAAAAAUAGAAUUAAAAAAAAUAUGAAAAAUAGAAGUUAUAAGAAAAAUUUGUAAAUAAAAAAUAAUAAUAAAACUGUGUAAAAAAAAAUCAAAUGCAAGCUAGCCGUUGUAUUCAAAUUUUUUGAAAUAAAUUUGUGUCGGUUAUAACCGACACAAAUAGUAGUACAAAUUACUAUUAGUGUCGGUUAUAAACGACACUAAUUGUAAACAAUAAAGCAUAGCGGGACCAAUUAUGUCGGUUAUAACCGAAUAAUUACAAAAGACUAAAUAAUUACUGUCGGUUAUAACCGACAGUAAUUCCGACGCAUUUAAAAAAAAGAGUCAGCCAGCCAGCCCUUUGGCCCUUUAGGAUUCUGUGGGACCCUCUCAGAUUCCAAAGCCCUCUGGCCUGGCCCUCGGUUGGAGACGGUUUUAGGACUAUUUUCGGUCCUCUGGCCCUCUGGACCCUUCAGUUGGAGAUGACCUUAGGCUCUUAUUUUGGAGUAUGUAAUACUUGAAAGACAAAUGUUUUUUUAAGGUUUUGAAAUAAUAUUUAUGUGACAAUGUGGUAUACAUAUACUAAUUUAGUAUUAUGUUUUCUAUUUUUUUUGGUCAAAUUAUGCUUUUCAUCUUCAUUAUUUAGGGAUUUAAAAUAUAUUUUCUUUAACGGAUAAUGGAUCGAGUCAUAUUAAAUGAUAAUAUUAACGGAUCAAUUUCGGGUCGGAUCAUAUUAUCGGUUUACUUUAACGGAUGUUACAUGACACGAUUCAUUAAGAUAUUAGGUAUAUCAUAAAAUCGAUACGAACGCAAAAAAUACGACACGAAUAUCAAAUCUAGCUUUUAGCAUACUCUCCCCGUACCUUUCUCAUGUUUUUACACCCAAAAAGUAAAUGAUUAAAGAGAAUAAUUUUUACAUGCCUUCUCUUUUUACUUCUUUUGUUUCUUUUUUCAAAAAAACACAAAAAAGGUCGAAUUAUGCCAAAACUGGUAGGACACUGCCCGACCAUAUGGCUUUUGAGCGCAUUAGAGCAACUCCACCCAUGUGGAUUGCUCGGGGGAUAGGGGAGAAGAAAGGGCCUGAGGCCCGGUCGACAGUGCUCCAGCCAUGGAGAGCCCGAGUGAAGGUGGGAGCCCGAGCACAAGGCCCGUCAGGAAUCCACCAGCCUGCAGCCCGAGGGCCAGACAUUAUUUAAUUUUUUUUGUGUCAGCCCGAGGGCCUGCAGCCCCAUUUCCAAUGUUUUUAUUUUAUUUUAUAUUAUUUAAACAAACAAAAAAAACUAAUAUUUUAUUACAUAUUGCCAGGGGGAGGGCUCCAAGGGUGGAGAUGCAAAAGGUAAUUACUGUUCAUUAAUGGUAGUUACUAUUCAUUAAAGGCAGUUACUGUUCAAUAUGGUGGAUUCAAUAGUGAAUUGCCAGGGGGAAGGGCUCAAAGGGUGGAGUUGCUCUUAUGUUAGAUGACUUUGGAAUGGCUAACUGGAUUGGCUGCUGACUUUCUUGAUUGCUCCAUAGUAGUUUGGUUUAGAUUUUUGUUUAAAAAUACCAAAAUUAAAGUUUAAUGGUUAAAAUAUCAUGAGUACUGGAUACUUCGGACGAAUCUGACCACCAAAGAAUUUUUGGUUUGGCUGUUUUAUUAUUCUCUCUCAACAUUUUAUAACAAAAAAAAAAUUGGUUUGGCUGUUUUGUUGUUCUCACUCAACAUUUUACAACAAAAUGAGGGGAACACCCUCCCUCCUCCACUGAUUUUUUUUUUUUUUUGAGAAAUGGAGAAUAUCAUUAACGAGGGCCAAAGCCAAAAGGAGGAACAGAAAGCCACACAGGCUAACAACAUCUGAAAAGAGCAACACAUAAAGGGUAAGAACACGACACGGAGCCAACAUAUGUCACCCUUACAACUACAAACUAAACUACAAAUUGGACGGAGGGCAAGGAAGACCAUCUUUGUUCAAGAUACGAACAAACGAAGAUGGGGGUCUACGGACCUAAACGAAAUCGCACAUCUCUGUCCCAAUAAUCCACCGCUUCGUUAGCUGAUCUUGGCACCUAAGGACAAUCACAUGAAUAAAAAGUUUCACCUUUGUACCGUAUCUUACAAAGAACAUGGAAUAGCUCCCACGCCAUUUGCUCAAUACACCAGUUCAACCAAUCAAUGAUCCCUUUUGAGUCCGACUCAAUCACAAUACGGGAGAAUCCCCGCUGCCUUGCCAUGCAACAACCCUGCAGCACUCCCUAUGCUUCUGCCAUUUGGGCAUUCAUAGCUCUGAUACGCCUCCUUCUAACUGCCAAGCACCAAGAUUCAGAAUCACGAAUCACCACCCCAAUAUGGCAGAAGCCAACCAUCAGCUUCCCGCUAGCAUCCACAUUUACCUUCGUGAUCCCAGGAGGAUGAGGAGGUUCCCAACCACUAACGAUAACCCUCUUAGAGCCUCGUUGUACUCGAUCAUCAGAAUGCGCCUCACAGUAACCAGUGUGAGCAGACUCGAUAGCUUUAACAGUACUGGUUGGGGAUGAGAAGUGAGACCUUGCAUCUAACCUUCCAUAUUUCUCAGCAUGCGAAGGUUAUGUACGACAUAGUUUCCCUUCUAACCUCCCCACCCUAGGUAGAUUUUGCCAAAUUGAAACCACCCAUGAAUGGAAGGAGGUUACCCUACUUUUAUCCACCCUUAAUCCCAAUGGGCCACCAAACCACACCUGAUCCACCCACAGACAUAAAAUAAAUGCAUGCUCGAUCAUCUCCUCAUGUUCACCACAAAAAGGGACAAGGGUGAAGACACACAUCGUCGUCUAAAUAAAUCUCGUUUAGUAGUUGUCGCCCCCCUUAGUGUAUGCCACAUAAAGUCCUUUAUUUUGUGAGAGAUCCAUAAGUUCCAUAUGCACUUCCACACCCAAAAGUCGACCGACGAUGAUGUAGAAGAUGUUAGUUGCUGACUUGACAAUUCACUGUGUGGAUCCAAUGGUAUCCAGAUUUGACGGUAUAAUGUCCCAUUCUGUCUGUUAGCCAAACUAGCAUAUCCUUGCAGUUAGCCCCGCCUAUUGGCGUAUCAAGGAUGGCAUGAUGAUCUUCAGCCGAGACCUUCCUAUCUAUAAUAGCCUGAUGCCAAGACCUAGUAGACUGAUCAAUCAAAUUCGAGACUCUUAGGUCAGGGUUCAUCAAAACCCCCUGAGCAGGGGUAAGGUGCCCCGACUGCAAAGUUGGGAUCCACCAAUUGGCCCACACCCGUGUGUUCUCACUAUUCAAAAUCUGCCAAUGCACACCCUGAGAGAUAAUGUCCCUUCUCAUCAACAGGCUAGCCCAAGGCCAGGAAGAUCGACCCCAUUUUUAAGCCUAAAAAAUAGGAGCAAUCCGUGAAGUAGCUCUGCUUGAUAACCAGGGCCCAAAGAGAGUCUAGGGAAUGGAUCAGACGCCAACAUUGCUUGGCCAAAAACACCAUGUUAAACUUCUUAAGGUUACAGAAGCCCAUGCCGCCCUCAUGCUUCGACAGACCCAAGUUUUCACAACUCACCCAAUGUAUCUUUUGUUCCCCCUCUCUUUGACCCCACCAUAAUUUGGCCAUUGCCACAUCAAUAUCAUUACAAAUAUUGUCCGGGAAACAGAAUAUGUUCAUUGGGUAAGCAGGAAUUGCCUGAGUCACUACUUUUAUCAAAACUUCCAUACCGGCUUGGAUAAGAAACCCUGCUUCCACCCUUGAAUCUUUGCUAAAACCUUGUCUUUUACAAAAGCUAGUGCCUCCCGCUUCGUUCUUCCACACACUGUUGGGAUUCCCAAAUAGUUUCCUGGAUCCUGAACCUGCAGCAUACCCAGGAUGCUCACCAAUUCGUUCGGGAGUUCUCCCGGGGUGUUGGCACCAAAGAAAACAGAUGAUUUUUGCAUGCUAACUUCUUGACCUGAGGUAGUGCAAUAGGGCUUUAAGAGGUGGGUUAUGUUCUGACAGUUGGGCCGUGUUGCACGGAGGAAUAUAAGCGUAUCUUUUGCAAACAAUAGAUGGGAUAGACACGACCCGUUCAUACUUAACUGAAUACCUUCAAUAAAACCACCAUCCACCGCACCAUUAAUUAGCCUCGAGAGCACGUCUGUAAAGAUGAGGAAGAGAUAUGGAGAUAGGGGUUGCCCUGCCGGAGCCCCCGCGACGGCUUGAACUUUCUCCUUGGUUAUCCAUUCACUAGGACCGAGAAAUCCACAGUGGAUGCAUAUCCCAUUACCAACCUUAUCCACAUCCCACCAAAACCCAUUCGGAUCAUGACUGCCUUCAAGAAAUCCCAUUCAAUCCUAUCAUAUGCCUUAUUCAUAUCAAUCUUCAUAGCUAGCUCAAAUUUAGUUUUCACUUUCCAAAGCUUGAGAAAAUGGAACACCUCAUGGGCCAUUAAAAUAUCGUCCUGGAUCUGCUGGCCCUCCAUAAACGCGUUCUGGGUCGGGGAUAUGAUUCUAGGUAACCAAUGCUUUAAUCUAUUGGCCAGCAGUUUAGAGAAGAUUUUAUAAGAGUAAUUACAUAUCGGCCUAAAUUGACUCACCGAGGAUGGGUUUGCAACUUUUGGAAUAAGGACAAUGUGAGUGGAGUUAACUUCCUCAUGAUCUCCCUUCCGGUGGCAAAAUCCUCCACCAACCCAUUCACCUUUUCCCUAAUAAUAUCUCAAAAGGAUUGAUAGAAGACCCCCUAGAAUCCAUCUGGGUCAGGCGCCUUCAAACCACCAAUUUGGAAAACCGCCUCCUUUAUCUCUGUCAAAGAAAAUGACUCACAAAGCUUAUCAUUCAUUUCCUCUGAGACCGAUGAAUGAAUAUAGUCAAAGACUUGACCCCACUCCCUCAUGCCCCCCCCCCCCCGACGUAAAAAGACCAGUGAAAUGGUCGUUUAUCACCCGUUUGAUUCCUUCGCUAUCUUCCUGCCACACCCCCCUCCCAUCUUGCAGCUUUGCAAUUCUAUUAAAAUGUCUUCGCUGAAUUGUGGUUUGGUGGAAAAAAAACGAGAGUUUGAAUCUCCUUCUUUGAGCCAUUUUAUACGGGAUCGUUGCCUCCAGAAUAAUUCAUCCCAUUCAUCUAGCUUUUCAAUAUUGGCAACAAUGGCUCUAAUCUCCUCCUCGUUUUCCUCCCACUGACCUUGAAGAUGUCCACUGAUUUUUCUUUAGUACCUGCAUGCAUCACCUUCAAUUACAAAGAAAGUAGGUAAAAUUCUUCUAUACUGAUUUUUCUAGACUACAUACAGGCACUGAGUGCCGAUCCAACAGUUCUCGAUUGGUAAAAUACGUGUUGGCACUAAGCGCCUCUAGAUGCUAAAAAUAAAAAAUAAAAAAAUUGCUCAUCCACUGCAUUAGCACAAAAUUUUGGGAUCAAAAUUUUAUUUUGCUUUGCUAUUUUCUUUUUAACAAACGAUAUUAUCUACACUAAACUAAGGGAAAGUGAGGUAGGCUAAGCCUUAUAAUAGGCUGCAAUAAUGUGGUUCAAAUUCAACUUUUGCGAGAAUUAAAUCUAAGACUUCUUACUUACAAAUGAAGAGGAAUAUCACUAGAAUGUAUACUAAGAGCAACUCCACCCUUGGUGGUUGCUCGGGGGACAGGCGAAGGGAAAAGGCCCGAGGGCCGGUGGAUAGGCCUCCAGCCUUGGGCAGCCCGAGUCAAGGUGGGAGCUCGAGGGUUAGGCCUGUGGAGAAUUGACAGCCCGACAGCCCGAGUUGUGUGUGGGGUCAGCCUGACGCCAGGCCUGGCGUCGGUGGUUUUUUUAUUUUUUUUGUGUCAGGCGCGUGCCCCUCACUCGCGAGUGGGGGCGCGUCAGCCUACAAGUUUACAGGGCAUAGGGCCCGCGCCCCAGGAAAUGCAGGUGACUGUUGGGAAGCCACGUGGCUUCCCACGGUCCGUUCAAUCCCAACAGCUCUUUAAUACGAGCCGUUCGAUUUCCAACGGUAAUAAAAAAAAAGCUGAUUUAAUAUCAACCAUUCGAUCUGAGAUCAACGGUUGAUGUUAAUCUGCUUUAUAAAUUUAAAAAAGAAAAAAGAAAAAAUAGUUUUAAAAUUAAAAAAAGUUACCGUUGUGACACGUGGCGUAAUCUGGAGUGUUGGAAUUCAAUUUUUUUAAAUCCAACGACAGAGUUUAAUUAUUUGAAUAAAAAAAAUUUAAAAAUUGUAAAAAAUCUGAAAAAAUAUCUGAAAAUUUAAAAAAAAAAAAUUACAUAAGAGAAUCUUUAUUCAAAUGACAUAAACACACCAAAUAAAAAACUCACGAAAUGAACACCAAAUAAAACAUACCAAAUAAAAUUACAUAAACACCAAAUAAUAAAAACCUCACUAAAUGAACCAAAAUAAAACACACCAAAUAAAAUUACAUAAACAUACCAAAUAAUAAAAAACACACUAAAUGAACUUUAUUAUCUUCAGCUUGUUUCAAUGCCCACUGGUACUCUAUCAAGUCAUUUUGCCUGGCAUUGUGCAUGUCUGGCCUUUGAAAUGCAGUAUAUCGUUGAAUGACCCUUUCAUUGUAACGUUCAUCCCUUUCUAAUGGCUCAUGUUGCACGGGCUCAUCGGUGGCAUCAUGAGCACAAUAUAUAUGUGUUCUUGAAUUGUUCAUCGUGUCUGGCUCAUAUUCAUCAACAGCUUCAUAAUCGUACUCAUCUUCCACAAUCAUGUUGUGAAGAAUGAUGCAUGUCAUCAUGAUGGAUCGAAGCGACUCUACAUCAAACAAUCUGGCAGCAUCCCUGACGAUCGCCCAGCGAGCUUGAAGGAUACCGAAACAACGCUCCACAUCCUUCUUGUAUCCCUCUUGACACCUUGCAAAGUGUUUUUCCUUUGCACUUCGCGGACGUGGCGCUGUUUUGACAAAUGUUGACCACCUUGGGUAAAUGCCGUUAGCUAGGUAGUAUGACCCGUUGUACAUACGUCCGUUGACCUCAUACGUGACUUUUGGUGCCUUUCCGUGCAGGACAUCAUUGAACACUGGGGAUUGGGUAAGAACGUUGAGGUCAUUUUGAGCUCCCGGAACCCCGAAAAAUGAUUGUCAAAUCCAUGUAUCAAAAGAUGUCACCGCCUCCAAAAUGAUAAUUUUUGCUCAUUUUCUAUCUCCAUAAGCGCCUUGCCAUGUACUUGGACAUUUUUUCCACAUCCAAUGCAUACAAUCAAUGCUCCCAAUCAUUCCAGGAAAACCUCGCAUCUCGGCAUUCUUCAGAAGCCUUUCCAAGUCCAUGUGAGUAGGUUUUCGGAGGUACUCUACGGUGUAGAUAGAUUCGAUUGCUCCGCAAAACCUCAUCAGGGACUCAAGAAUGGUUGAUUUCCUCAUCUUCGUUAUCUCAUCCAUUUGGUCUACAGAUGCUCCAUACGCAAUGCUCCAUACGCAAGCAUCCGCAGCGCAACAGUAAUUUUUUGCUCGGGAAGGAGACCCAUAGCACCACAUGCAUUCUUCUUUUGCUGAAAGUAAGAAUCAUGGUUGCAAACCGCAAUCAUGAUUUUGUUGAACAAAUGUCGUUCCAUUCUAAAACGACGUCUGAAGUACGUAUCAGGAAAUGCACUAUUAUGGACAAAAUAAUCGUCCAACUGCUCCACACCUCGUUGCUGCCUCCUUCUAUCAAGGUUUCCGAAACGGGUGGGCCUGUAUAUCUGAGCCACAACUUGGAUGACUCGACGGGAAUGUGAGUCUCUGGCCAUUCUUAAUUCGUCAUCUCUCAUUCUCCGCUCCUCAUCCUCUUCCUUCUCAUUUUGGGCUAUAUGGAGAUUGAAUAUUCCUUCAGAUUAGAUAAACAAUUCUUUCUCUUCUUGAUCGAUUUCCCACAUCAUGCUUGAAGAAGAAGACAUUGUAAGUAGAAACUAUAAAUAAUGAUACAGAUUUUGAUUUAGUGAAGAAGGAAGCAGAAACUAUGAAUAAUGAUAAAGAUAUUGAGAAAAUUGGUGUGAGAUUUAAAAGGAUGGAUGAUGGAUUAUAUGAAGGAUUCUGAAAUGAUUAGGUUGUAGAUAGUGCCACAUGGCAUGCCGUCAUUCGUUAAAAAUCUCAUCGAAUUCUAUCCUAAAAGAUUCUGAAAAGAUAACGACACGUGACACGACGACAUUGGAUAAAAAUCUUAUCGAAUCUAUCAUCAAUAAUUAUCUUUUCGGAUAAUGACAUGUGACGCAACGAUAACGAUUUAAAAUCUGAUUGAAAUCUAUCCUCAAAGAUUCUGAAAAGAUAAUAACACGUGGCACGAUGACAUUGGAUAAAAAUCUUAUCGAAAUCUAUGACCAAUAAUAGUCGUUUUGGGUAAAUGACAUGUGGCGCAUCGAGAACGAUUUAAAAUAUCUUAUCCGAAAUUACAAAUAAAUUUAUUUAGUAUUAUUUUGUAAAAAAAAAUUAAUAAUAUUUUACCAGGACUAUUCAAGUGCAAGGGUGGAGAUGCAAAAAUCAGUUACUGUUCAUUAGAGUAGUUAUUGUUCACAUGGUGGAUUGCAUAGUGGAUUGCCUGGGGAGAACUUCAAGGGUGAAGUUGCUCUAAUUGACAUUUUGUUUUGCUCUUUUACUCACUCUGUUUCUUGGCACCUACUACGUAGGCUAGCGGUACUGGAAACUUAAAGCACGCACAAGGAUCAAGUCCUUGAAAAAACAGAUCAAUCAUGUUACUCAGAGGUGAGAUCACCCGUUUUUUUCUUCCUUUUAUGUACAAUGAAUUAUGCAAACAUAAAACAUAUACUGAUACAAUUUGAUGUUUUCCAAAAAUAAAAAAUAUCCAUUCCUGCAGUUGUAAGCAGUUUGAUCUUCACACAGAAAAGGAAGGCAAUGCAAAUUUUCCCCGAAAGCGUGAGAGAAGCGUGGAACGAGUGGGAGCUUCGGGCCAUGGUUUUAAUCAGCCUUGCCUUGCAAACCAUCCUCAUCCUGAUCGGCAACUGGAGAAAGCAUUCAACCAGCAACAUACUCCGAAUUGUCCUCUGGCUCGCUUACUUGUCAGCUGACUCCGUAGCAACCGUCUCACUCGGGAUUCUCUCCAGCAACCAGGAAGACUCCGAAGGUGAUUCUGUAAACCCCAACUUUGUUAUAACAGCAUUCUGGGCACCGUUUCUUCUCUUGCAUCUCGGCGGUCCAGAUACGAUUACUGCUUACUCGUUGGAGGAUAAUGAGUUGUGGCCUAGGCACUUGCUUGGGGUAGUUGUCCAGGUGAUUGUAGCUUUGUAUGUGUUUAUAAGAGCAUGGUCUAGUAAAAUGUUGAAUUUUUUGGCAAUUCCCGUUUUCGUAGUUGGAAUUAUAAAAUUUGGGGAGAGGACUUGGGUUUUGAGGUCUGCAAGUAGUGAGCAUUUUCGAGAGUCUAUGCUCCCUCCUCCGGACGCAGGUCCGAAUUAUGCUAGAUACAUGGAAGAAUACAGCUCAAAGAAAGCUGAGGGGUUUAGGGUUGAACCGAAAACAUUCAUUGAAGCUCCCAUAGGUUUUGAUCAUUCCGAUGCAGUUCAAGCUAAUGAAUCUAGUAGUGCCCAAAAUGCUGCAGUUUUAAACAAAGCUUAUAGUUUCUUCGAAACUUUCAAGCGGCUGUGUGCCGAUCUCAUCCUCACCUUCCACGAUAUAGAAAACAGCCAAUCGUUCUUCCAACAUAGAAGCUCUGAGGAAGCUCUCGAGGUUAUUGAGUUCGAGCUAGGGUUCAUGUAUGAUGUGUUUUAUACUAAAUCACUUCUGGUUUAUUCUGGUCUUGGUGGAAUACUCCGUUGCAUUACUCUUUCUUUCACAGUUUGUGUGUUCCUGGCCUUCGUGUUGAUCACGGAGAAGCAAGAAUACAUGAAAGUGGAUGUAAUUAUCACAUACAUAUUGUUGGUAGGAGCUAUUGUCUUAGAAUUUUAUGCAGUUGUCAUCCUACUUUCAUCGGACUGGACCCUGCUGUGGCUGAGCAAGCACAAAAACACAGCAGUAGAUCUCUUGCUCAGAUUGGUUUCAUCAAUCGCUUUGAUAAAAAACAAGAGGUGGUCUAAUACCUUGGCACAAUACGACCUCAUAACAUUUUGUCUCAAAGAAAGGCCAGCAAAGUGCAUUUUCAUCAACGAGGACUGGUUUAUAAAUCGGUUACUAGAGAAGUAUCGAUACAGAGACUUGAAGGAUGUUUCCAAAGAGUUGAAGAAUUUGAUAUUUGGGCAGCUGCUAGAGAAGUCGAGGACUGCUUCUAAUUUCGAGGCCAGCAAACGAAAAGAACUAUGUGCUCGAAGGGGUGACAUGGUGCUUGAGAAAGCAAAAUGUCUAGAUGAACUUGGCUGGACAAUUAACGGGGCCGAAUUUGAUCAAAGCAUCCUUCUUUGGCAUAUUGCGACAAAUCUAUGUUACUAUUCUGAUCUGGAAUUUUAUCAUAGUCCAAAUUCUGAAGCCAGCAUUCUUAAAAAAAAUUCUGAAGCCAGCAAGGUGUUAUCAAACUAUAUGUUGUAUCUUUUGGUGAUGUGCCCCUUCAUGCUGCCAAAUGGGAUUGGACAGAUAAGGUUUAGAGACACCUGUGCCGAGGCUGAGGAAUUUAUCACCGAAAGAAAGUCCAUAAAGAAUAGAGAAACGGCCUGCAAAAUGUUGCUCAAAGUGAGCACAGACAUCCUUCCAUCGAAAGUGAAAGGAGAUAGAAGCAAGUCGGUUCUAUUUGAUGCAUGCAGGCUUGCUAAAGCUCUGCAGUUCCUUGAGUCUAAGAAACACUGGGAGAACAAUGAGAAAAAAUGGGAGUUUAUAAGUCAUGUGUGGGUGGAAAUGCUUGCUUUCGCUGCCAAUCAGUGCCGGUGGAGUGAUCAUGCUCAGCAGCUCAGGCGAGGAGGAGAGCUGCUCACUCAUAUCUGGCUUCUUAUGGCACAUCUUGGUUUAACUGAACAGUUUCAAAUUUCAGAGGGCCAUGUUAGGGCAAAGUUGAUUGUGGAGUGAAUUUAAGUGUCACUCACUACAAAGAAUGAUCCAUUUUCAAGAUGUCCUAACUAUGUUAUGCUUUUCAGAUUGUAACUCUGUAGUCCGACCAUAGACCGGAUUUUCAAUAUUGCUUAGUUAAUGUGCUGAUAUUAUUAUUCCCCCUAAACAUAUUGAUAAAUAACGAACAUUCUACAUUGAUAAUUUCUUAUAAAUCAUAUCGGACUUCACUUAUGUAGUAACGAUUCAUAAUUGGAGUGUAACUAAAAAUAAGAGGACUCGCCAGGUAUAAAUUACUUGGUAAAUAGACAGUUUGCAAUUACGAGAAAACAUUUAUCCUUGUAGUUCUUGCAAGGCCAUGGCUUGCCCUACAACUACAACAUCAAACUCCAAGUUGCUGACUCAAAUUAAUUGUCUAGGGGUGGACAUAAAAGCCGGCCAACGGAAAACACAUUAGAGCAACUCCACCGUUGGAGCCCUCCCCCCAGGCAAUACACUAUGUUAUCCACCCAGUGAACAGUAACUGCCCUAAUGAACAGUAAUCCCCCAGGCAAUACACUUUUGCAUCUCCACCGUUGCACUUCAAUAGCCCUGGCAAUAGGCAAUAAAAUAGUAGUAUUUUUUUAUUAUAAAAUAAUACAAAAUAAUUUUAUUUGUAAUUUCGGAUAAGAUUUUUAAUCGUUCUCGUUGCACCACGUAUUAUUAUCCGAAAAGUUAUAAAAUAAUACAAAAUAAUUUUAUUUGUAAUUUCGGAUAAGAUUUUUAUAGAAAAGUAAAAACAUUUUUUUUUUAAAUUUUCAGAUUUUUUUUUCGGAUUUUUUACAAUUUAAAUUUUUUUUAUUCAAAUAAUUAAUCUCUGCCAUUGGAUUUAAAAAAAUUGAAUUCCAACACUCCAGAUUGUGCCACGUGUUACAACGGUAACUUUUCUUAAUUUUAAAACUAUUUUUUCUUUUAUUUAUUUAUUUAUAAAGCAUAUUAAUAUCGACCGUUGAUAUUAAAUAAGAUUUUUUUUAUUUUUUUUACCGUUGAGAUCAAACAGUCCAAGUUAAAGAGCAGUUGAGAUCGAAUGGACCGUGGGAAGCCACAUGGCUUCCCAACGGUAUCAUUUCAGUCUGAAAAGAUGUCGGGCAAUGCGCCCCCACUCGCGAGUGGGGUGCACGUGCAUGACAGAAAAAAAUUAAAAAAUGGCCUGACACCGGGCUGAUGUCAGCCCUGGCAUCACAUCCACUCAAGCUCUCGGGCUGGCAAUUCUUCAUAGGCCUGGAGAUCGGGCCUCCACCUCCGCUUGGGAUCCCUUCACGCUAGAGCGAAUCCACAGGGCCUUGGGCCCUUUUCUCUAGCAUGUCCCCCAAGCAAUCCACCACGGUGGAGUUGCUCUUAGAUCAUAGUAGAUCCUUCGAUUUGGUUUGGUUUUUGUAAAAAGUGUGCCCUUUUGAAGCGGACAAAACCAACACUGAAAGUUUCCCACCCCCCCCCCCCAAAAAAAAACCCAACAUUGAAUGGUUCAGUUUCAGUCGAUUUGAUUGAACCUCAUAACAUUAUUCAAUUUGAUCGACAAUUUGAAAGUGGGGCGGGGCCGAACCGACCCAUGCUCACAUGAAAAUAAUUAUAAUAUGUUGUAUAAUAAUCGAUAUAUGUAUAGUUGCAUAUAAAGUAAAUAAAAUUAUUAACAAUUGUAUUAUAGAGACAAGACUUACUAUUUGAUCAACAACAAGACAAGAUUAUUCCACCUAAAAGUAUUCACUUUGGUUUGAAUUCUUCUUUUCACAACAUAAUGGUCAGAUAGAACCAAAUCAAACCAAAGCGAAUACAUUUAGGUGAAAUAGUCUUGUCUUGUUGUUGAUCAAAUAGUAAGUCUUGUCUAUAUAAUACAAUUAUGUUGUGAAAAGAUAAGACUACUCCAUCAUUUUCAAAUAAAAUAGUAAGUUUUGCCUCUAUAAUACAAGUAUAUUGUUGAUAAAAUAUAAGUCUUGUCUUGUCGUUGAUAAAAUAGUAAGUCUUGCCUCUAUAAUACAAGUAUAUUGUUGAUAAAAUAUAAGUCUUGUCUUGUUGUUGAUAAAAUAGUAAGUCUUGUCUUGUUCUAUCUGACCUAAAAAUAAGACUACUCCAUCAUUUUCAUUGUCCCCAACCUUAUCGUUUCGGUCAGAUAGAACCAAAUGCUACAUUAUUAUAACUUUUAAAAGAUAUUUUUGUUUGUAAUCAUUGAAUUAAAUUUCAAAGACCACGAUUGUCUGCUUAGCUGACUCUAUUUUUUAAGAUCAGGAGAGGAUCCUCUUCUAAUCCGUCCCCAACCUUACCUUUUCGGUCAGAUAGAACCAAAUGCUACAUUAUUAAAAUGUGCAGAUGCAAUUAUUAAUCUCUACCCCAACUAGGUGGAGGUAGAUUUUCCACCCUCCCACUUCCAUUGUCCUCUUGUUUUGUGUGUUAACGGUUAAGUCACUUUAAUAUUUUAUAUUAAUUUUUUUAUAGAGAUAAUAAGACAAAAAUAAAUAGUAAUAUAAAACGUUGAUGUGACUUAACCGUGAUCACACAAACAGAAGGGCACGAAAGGGCACAAGAAGUGGAAGGGCAGACUGCCUCCCAACUAGAUUCCACUAGAUUUGGCUUUCACUGUUGUUAGUCAGAGAGAGACAUGAAACAAGAAUUGUAAGGAGGCAGAUUGUCUGCCAUCCUGUUUUGAUGCAUUCCCCAUUCCCUUUUGUUUGUGCGAUUACGGUUAAACCACGUUAUUAUUUUAUAUUCUUACUAUUUUUUGUCUUAUUAUCUCUAUAAAAAAAUCAAUAUAAAAUAUUAAUGUGGCUUAACUGUGACCGCAUAAAACAGAAGAUGAUGAAAAUAACACCAAAACAGGAGGGCAGACAAUCUGCACUCCGAAUUGUAAACCGACGCUUUUCCAAAUCAAUAAUUAAUUUGGGAGAUCACAGCAGCACGACAAAAUCCUUGUAUACGGGCUGUUACAUACGGCAGCCCCCUAACAGAGGGUGGGACUCACGUCACGGUUGAAGCCCACUUCCUGUGAGAGAACUACGACAGCCGUAUGCUUGAAUUUUUCGAGCAGCAAGCAUGCAAGUUUUACAAGAAUUACCAUGAAAAUUCAAAGGUACUAACUUUACCACAUCUAAAUAAGUGAAUAAUGGGGUAUUUAAAAAAUACACUCCGACUUCUCGGGCAACCUUCUGUAGAAGUUAGCCAGGAUUGAUGGCAUUUGUUUCCUACGCCGCAACCUGGGGUGCCUCAUCAAGUAAAACCCACCAACAAUAACUACAACCUUCAACGGUGUCACAAACAACAAAAUGGCAACAAAAAGACAGAAUGUGAUGAAUAUAAAAGUGGCGCGAGGAUCCCGCCAACUGAUGAGAAAUUCCUGAAUCCGCUCCCCCAUCGUUGCAACAUCCCCCACCACAGUUUGAAUCCUUCCGGCAAUACUCCUCAAGCGGUCGUACCUCAUCUUCAUUAUUUCAUCGUUUUGUGAAGUUGGAAAUGUGUCAAAUUCUUCAUCAAGCUCAUCAGGGUGCGCAGCGUCUGCAUGUGAGAGCCUUGUGUCCACAUGGAGAGGGUGUCUUGGGCGGUACCGCAAGUUCGAAAUCCCUGUAAGGAACAUGUAUAGGAAAACAGUUGACAAAAUAAGUUCCGGAGUGCACACCAGCAUCACAAACAGGACAUGUACUAGCACUGUUAUAAUGGAACUUCUCCAUGCACAUACUUCAUCAAACCAUUUCAGAACAGAAAUGAACCAGGAUAAAACACCCAUCAUUCUGAAAAAGUUUGCCUUGCUGCGCCUCAGGCUCCAAACAUGAACAUCUGCAGCAUCAGAGUACAUGUAUUCAACUACUUCCUUCCCAAGAGGUGGUUCUACCUGAGCAAGCCUAUCUGCCACCACCAACACAGCUUGAUCCCUCAAUGUGCCUGGCUGCACCUUUACCGAAACGGGUUGAAAGUAAAUCAACAUCAGAUUGGCCAAUGAUAUGCAUGAAAACCUUAUUGCAAGAUGUAAUUCGCCCGUCUUCUUGACACCAGAAGGAGAAAGGGAUAGUAAUGGAUAACAGUGUGUGUACACGCGGUCUGAUUCGAGGGUAGAGAUUCGAAUCCGGACCUUGCCAAUUUCUUUAUCUUUUUUUCCACUUGAAUUGCCAAUCUGCCUGUUAUCAAAAACCCCGACUGUGAGAAUUGAGACAGGAUCAUAUACCUCCCAAGUGUACUGCUCACUGUAUUUUGGACUUGGGCUGUUAGUUAUGGUUCGAGUACGAACCCAUUUGUCGCCAAACUUCGCCACACAAUACGAGUCAGUUGUAGCCUUCCCAGUCUCUGUUUUCAUUGGCAUUAGGUCUUUGGCAUUUAGAACUCCGAGCUCUAAGACACCAACAGGCCGCUGCAGGUCGUUGCAAUAGUUAGAAGAAUCAUCAAGUAAAUGGUACCCUCCAUCUAGACAAACAUGGAGAUGGAUUCUCCUGGAAAACUUAUGAUCUCUAUCUUUCUCCAUGGCAUUUGACAGAGACAUGUCAAGGUUAAACCACUGCCCACAGAUAAUUUGAUCAUCAUCAGCAGAUUCACCGCACCUCUUAACGGAGUUCAAUGCUAUGGAAACUCUUCCUAAUGUCUCCUCUUUGUCUGGACAUACAUGAUCUUCAACAGAAACGAUCAGAUGUUGAUCAUCAAAGGGUUCGGCAGUGACAAACAUAAGUUCCUCAUUCCACAUUGGGUUCAGAGAUUGAACUUCUCUUGUCUUUAAACACUGAUGACCGAUUUGUAUACUUGCGUAUGCAUCUGGGAUUCGAGAUGUGUCAGGUACAACCAAGUCCCGUGCCUCAAUCACCUUUACCCGUACGUACCAUAAUCUUGGUGAAUCGUAAACUUUUGAGCGGACAUGUGUAUAAGCAGCUGAAGACAUAUCAUCAGGAAGAAUUAUAUCAGAAUACCAGGCAUUUGGAAAAGCUUCAUCAGCUUGAGUGCCAUACCAUACAGCAAGCAUUAGUUCCCCUUUCUUCUUCUUCUUCCCAUCCUUGUCUACUAGCUGAUGCCUUUCCGGAGCCACUGGAACUCGAGUCUGAACUUCAUCGAGAGCAAACUGCACAGACCCAACAAAGUCAUCAUUUACAAGUUCAUUGUCUUUGACCACAACAUCCAAAACAGAUGAGUGCAGAUUUUCCUUAAGAAAUGCAAACACCUCAUUCCAUUCAGGGUUCUGCUUUUUCUCCAAACUUCUUGUAAUUCCUUUGCAGUUCCCAACUUUCACUUCCACAUAUGCGUCACGACAAGAAAGGUCGAGGGCCUUCACAACGCGUACAAACAGGUAAUGCAUUGUUUCGACAAGCUCAUGGGUGCUGAUGACUGGACUGUCUCCACGCACAAAUCGCCCACGAACAACCUGCCCCCCUCCCAAGUAAGGACUUGACUCUUUAAGCAGAUAAUCAGACGGUCGAGAUGAAGAACCUGAGUUCUUCGGAGCAACUUUAGGAGGCUCAUGGGAUUCGGACUUCGCCUCAUGGUUCACCGAUGGCUGCGAUUGAUUUGGGUUUGCAAGGUAAGCCUUCAGAGCAAGCUCUCCUCUCACGCGGGAGAAAGAGAAAACACCUCUUUUUUUAAGAGAGUAGAGCGAAACAUGAGCAUCAGAGUAUGGGACAAAUGAUGUCCCAGGCAGACAAACCUUUCCAAGGAAAGUUGUAGAGUUGGCAUUUCCAUUGUGGAAAACAUUGGCCUCAACAACGAGGUCACGCAGGCGGUUUGGAUCGGAGACAUCAAAGAAGAUGGUUUCAUUCCAAACAUGAUUGACAUCUCUUGCUUUUGUGCUGGUUCGGGCUCUCUGACGAUCGAACAGGAACUCCACAUAAGCACUGGUUGUGCUUUGUCCAUGUCUCAGCAUAAGGUUAUGGGCACUCACAACCUCCACCGCUAACUUGAGGUUACUCAUUCCUGGAUUCGAAGUCAACGAAGAAUAGCAAGAAAAUAAGUACCAGAGAGAGAGAACCAAAAAGGUAGCUGAAAAUUUACAGAUAAUGUUAAAUGCAUGAACAACGAAAAACAGAACCACGUGGUAAAGGUCGAUGACAGAUGGAUGGCACUAUAGUCGUUUAUGAAUAAACAGAGUCAAGAAAAGUGGGUGGAGAUUAGUUUACAAAUGUAGAAAAAGCCGUAUAGAGAAGAGCAGGCCGGGAAGGGAUCCCCAUUUCUUAGAAAAUAAAAUAAAAUGGGGAACCUUCAUCACCGUUAAAUUUAACUUUAAUAAAAUUAUAUGGUUAAAAUUAAACCACAAGAAGAAAACAUAUAGUCUCCUUGUUUCUAUUGCUUUGUAAUUUCUGUUAAUGAGAGAGAUUAAUGUUACUGUUACUGUUCCUAGGACGCACACUUAACGAACCUUGUAAAUAUUAUUUCUUAUUUAUUUAUAUCUCAUUACACACAUAUCCUCAAUUUCACAACAAACCACAAAAAAAAAAAAACAGAAAAGGGAAUUGGAUCCCCUCCUAAGCAAAUGGUGGGGAUCCUCAUGACCACACAACACAGGAUCCAACGGCUAUAAUUAUUAUAAUUCUUAAAAGGAUCAUCUAUUUAUAACUGUUGGAUCAAAAUCUAACAACCUGUGUUGUGUGGUCAUGAGGAUCCCCACCAUUUGCUUAGGAGGGGAUCCAAUUCCAAAAAAAAAUAUAUUCCCAAUAAUUUAUGUGCUACCUACUCCUACAUCGGCCUCCCUUAUCAAUCAUGGAGCUGCGUACCCUACAGAGAGAGAGAGAGAGAGAGAGAGAGAGAGAGAGGGAGAGACUGCUUCAAUGGUCUGAGAAAGCAAAAAAGUUCAAAAGAAUAAUGUAACCUGAUCAGUGUCCGUAAAAGCAAAUUCCUCUACUCUUUCUUCUCCUUGAAUAUUUCAAUUUGUUUCUCCUUGCACUCACUGCAAAUUGAGCAAAUCCGUUUUCUUUAAACCAAAGCUGCUGCUACAUCAAUUCGCGGCCGCCGGAGAAGUCAUGGAUUUGAACCCUGCUGGAGAUCGAGGUUCGAAUUAUUUUGAUAAAGUUCUGUCUAUGGUUAGUUUUGCAUACAAUAAGGAGAGAGCAACCAAUUCCUCGCCAUUCAUUGAUUCCAUUCUCCACAAUGCUCACUUCCUUGUCUUUUUUGCUGUGUAUCUUAUUUGCCGUUAUGUAAAUCACAUAUCACUGUAUCAAGCACUUGUUUGUGUCGGCCUUACCCCAUUGUUUCUCUAUUUCUACAUCAACUAUGCGCCGUUUCUGUUCUUAGAGGAAGACAUCAAGUGGAUUCGAAGAGAGUCGAGGUUACUGCAUGCCAUCGUUGAGGAUGCAGAGAAAAUCAUGCAUUAUAGUGGUCUUAUAGGCGCAAGAGCACGCAAAAUCUGGGAUUCUAAUCCUGAUGGAGCAACCGUGAAAGGAGUUGAUGAAACUGAGGUUGCAUUGUUGGAUAAAGCCAAAUCCAUGGCUUUAAGAGCAAAAAAUUUGGUUGCGACCUUUGAGAAACAGAGGAUCGCAAGAGACUCCCACACCCAAAGAUUAUGUUUCGAUAUGAUCACUGAAAAUUUCCAGCAGGUAUCAGAGCUGUUCACAGAAACUAAGACUGUUAAGCAGGGCAUGAAGGAUAUCUUUGAGGGGAAUAAGGAUUACUGGAUUGGCAUUGGCGAAUCUCUGGAGAGGUCAAGGUCCAGUAUUAUAAGCCUGCUGCCCAGGCCCGUGCAUGGACAUGGUCAACAAAAAUGGGUGCAGUCCAAAGAACAAGUUUCCUCAGCAGCUGCUUUGGCGUCCACUGUCGAAGAGAACAUAAAACGUCUCAUCACUCAAAAGCCAGAUUUAAUGCGUAAAGAUACCGGAAAGCAAAUAAUUUCAAUAAACCUGCAACUGCAGCAACUGCAUCAUUUUCUGAAAGAUGUACAAGGAAUUCGAUUCGAAAGUGAAAUUGAAGGGGCCUGGGUGAAGGAAGUGCACGAGAUGAUUAAUGAAGCACAUCAUGCCAUUGACAAGUACUUGCAGAGAAUUAGGUGGCUAUCAUUUAUCAACAAUUGGAAGGCCGGGAGAAAGCUCAAGGGGGACAUAAGGUGUAUACACGUUGGGUUCACACAACUCUUAGAAAGGAAAGAUAGUUAUGGCUUCAAGUUUUUAAGAAGAGAUUCAUCAAAAUUCGUCUAUCAGUCCCCACAUCAGACUCAAGACGACUUAAUUAUUUCAACUAGAUUAAGCAGGAUGCAGGAGUUCCUCAGUAAGAAGUCACCUUUAUUGGGUGAAGUAUUUUAUGAAGUCACUUCGUUGUGCAAUCAAUUGGAAAGAAUGCAUAAACUCGUACUUGGCGCAUCAGUAACAGGAGGAGGAUAUAAUUCCAGAAUGUCUUGGUUGGAGCAAACCCGGAAAAUUUUUGAUAGUGCAGAGAAAUCUUUGACUACCUUUCAGUGGAAUUCACUCAAUAUGUGGCAAAACCCUCUAUUUAAAACAAGUGCUGGGAGGAAACUUUCCCGUGACAUUGACCUCAUAAAUCAUACUAUUGAUCUUUUCUUGAAAUGCAUCAGAGCAUAUGACAUUGAAGUAAGGGAAGAGUCAAACUCAGUGGUUGGUUUGGAAGAAGACACUGAAGCAGUGGUCUCACAACUGACAACCAACAACGAACACCGCUCGGUGAUUUCCAUUGUGGGGAUUGGGGGCAUAGGAAAGACAACACUGGCAAAGAAGAUUUAUGACAAUGGAGUUGUUGUAGACCAUUUUCCUUGCCGUGCCUGGGUUUCUAUACCUCAGAAGUCUGAUAACAAAGCACUUUUGGAAGAUGUGGCAGAGCAGGUAUUGAGGUCUCUUCAACUACAAGGGGAAAAAAAUCGCAAUGGAUCCUGGAUUCAUAAGGCGCAUGAUGUCUUGAAAGACAAAAGGUACCUUUUAGUUCUUGACGACAUCUCGACGGUAGAAGAAUUGGAGACCCUGAAAGCAGAAUUUCCAGUAACAUCAUCUGGAUGCAAAAUUCUGCUCACUACACGUGACAACAUUGUGGCUUCACAAGCAGACGCUCCCCACCAACUUCGACUUCGAACCAAAGAAGAGAGCUGGAAGUUGUUCACCCAGAUGGUGCACUUUCCGCCAACAGAGGAAUUACUAGCAAAAGAUAUUUUAGAUAAAUGUGGGGGUUUACCACAAGCAAUCUUCCAUGUUGGAUAUCUGAUGUUAGGGAAAGAUGCGAGCGUGGCUGAGGAGGUCAAAGGGGUGCUUAGAUACAUCAAACAGAAUGAUGCACCAUUGUUAGAAACCUUCACUAUAAGGUCCAUUCACUCGUCUCCUCAUCUAAGAAACUGUCUUUCUUACUUCAAACUCUUCCCCAACAACUUUGAAAUUCCGGCAAGGAGAUUAACCGCAUUGUGGAUUGCAGAAGGUUUGGUAGGAGAUCAGGAGACGGAAGAAACUGGCAAAGAUGUUGCAGAUAAGUAUUUGUCCGACUUGAUCCACCUGGACAUGAUUCAAGUAGUCAAAAGAAAGCACAACGGAGAAGUCAAGACAUGUCGAUUGCCAUAUGCUCUACAGAAAUUUGAGUUGCCAGAUAUGAGCCAAGAAAGACUUACUGAUCGUUAUAACAGAAGCGACGAGACAUUUACUCUUAUUCAUGGUGACAGCUCAAACGUUCCAAUUCCUGAUCUCGUUUCCAUCCUCUCCUUUGAUACUCGAGAAGGAAAUAAACCUGGAGAAGAAAUAGGCAACUUUCUACGAAGAGGCAUCGCAGGUGGUUUCUUCCAUCGGCUACAGGUUCUUGAUCUCGAACGUGUAUUCAGACCUGAAUUGCCCAAUACCAUAGGAAAGCUAAAAGAGUUGAGGUAUCUUGGUUUGAGGUGGACUUUCCUGGAAUCAGUCCCAGCAUCCAUAGGUGACUUGCUGAACCUCCAAACCUUGGAUGUGAAACAUACAUAUGUGCACACUCUCCCUGGUUCAAUAUGGAAACUGCAGACACUUCGACACUUGUACUUGAACCAGAGUAAACAGAGUAAAUUUAAGCAUCAACAAGGUGGAAGUUCCCUGAAGAAUCUGCGGACAUUAUGGGGAGUAUUUCUGGAUAAAGAUAGUCCCUUGAUCCACUGGAUGGACAAGCUGAUAUACCUCAGAAAAUUGGGAUUGGCAUUCCAGUUAAGCCAGCCAGAGCAAAAACCAUUAGCAGACAAGAUUGUUAAGCUGAAGAGCCUUCGGUCUUUGAGAAUGAGAUCAAUCGAUGAAAUGGGUGAACCCAGUGAUCUAGUCUGCGUGUGCUUAUCAGGCCUUGAGAGUCUCUCCUGCCUAAAUUUGUUCGGAAAGCUAAAUCCUUCCAUGAUAGAUGAAUUCCCAAAAAAUCUCACUGAUCUUACGUUGUCAGGUGCUUCUCUGUCAGUUGAUCCAAUGCCCGUGUUAGAGAAUCUCUCCAACCUGAAAUUCCUCAGUUUUUACUCCAACUCUUAUACAGGUAUCAAGAUGGUUUGCUCCACCACAGGGUUUCCAAAGCUUGUGGUUUUAAAGUUGUGGAAGCUCCAACAACUAAAAGAUUGGGAUGUGGAGGAAAAGGCAAUGCAAAAUCUGAGGGAGUUGGAGAUAAGAGCGUGCACAAAUUUGAAGGUCCCAAGUGGGUUGAGGCACUUGAAGAAUCUCACUCAGCUGAAAUUAACUAAUAUGCCGGAAGAAUUUGUUGCAACCAUUGCGACAACUAAGGUGCAAAUUUGGGAUGACAUAACUCACUCGCCAACAGUCAUUACCGAUAGCUGGUAGUCUAUGCGGAAUUAGUCACAGGCUCUCUCUCCAGUAAUCGGGUAUGUUUUGGUUUUUUUGUACUGUGUUUAUGUGUACAAGUACUGCGUAAUGAUGCUUGUUUUCUACAUGGAAAUCAUGUUCUAGAUCGAGUGACGCUCUUACUGGUUUAUUGCUUUCAGGUAACAUCGCCCAAUGCAUUUGACGCAUAGGGAACCUGACAGCCUAGUCCAUGUUGAGUUGCAACGGGUGAUAGGUUCUUAUGAACAUGUUCAAAUUUCCUUCAACAAAACUGGGUUUGUAAUGUAAUUAUAUCUUAAGGAAUUGUUGACGUUUGUGUUUAGUACUUGAUCACUGAUUUGCUAAGUUUUCGUUUUGUUAUUUGAUAGUAUGGAUGUUAUAAUAACAGUCACUCCCACUCUUUGUUUUCUUUGAUCAUAUAUUGAUUAUUAAAUACUGCAUUUUCCUAUUUAAAUGAUCGAUCCGAGUUAGUGCUCAUCUUCCUCCUUUGCAGCUUUGCUUCAAGGGAUAAUCUGGUACUGCAUAAUUAAUUUUUUUACUUAAUUAGUGCUAAGUAAUCUAAGAGGUCGCACUUGGUGCGAUGGUAAGUGCCUUCGCUCAUGAACGGUAAGUCUCGGGUUCGAGACUUGGGAGCAGAGCCUCUCCAUAAAUAGGGGUAAGGCUUCACCUCUCCCAGACCAUGCGUGCACUGGAUACGAUCUUUUUUUUUAGUGCUAAGUAAUCUCACAGUUAGUUUAAUUAGGGUCUGUAAAUUAGUGUUAAUAAUCUAACAAUUAGUUCAUUCGUAGAAUAUAGGAUAGACUACUUUCCCCUCUUGAUCUUCUCGGCACCUCGUGAUCAUCGAUAGCUCCCUCAGGCAAUAUCGGGACUCCGCGUAACUCUUUGAGAAGACGACGACCGCGAUCCUCGACCCUUCGAUUUCUCGGUCAAGUUCUCUCUGUAUAUUCUCCCCAUUUCUGAGCUCGUAGUCUAUAAAUGUGUUGAUUUCGGCACUGCUUAACGCAAUGAGAGGUGGUCUGUGAACCCAGUGCGUGUGUCCUCGCCUCUAAAGCUCAGGAACACCUCGUAGGUUUGAACGCCGAGAGGAAGACGAACCGGCGGCGGCGGCGGUUGCAAGGGCGAGGCUGCUGGUAUUCAUUGAUUUCAAGCAAAGAAGUGAAACUCCUGAUCGUUUCCCAAGAUUCCUAGCGAAACUCCUGAUUAAUGUUUUGGAUCGUUGGAAGAUGUGAGAGCAAAAAAUAAUGAAGAAAGUAGAGGGAGAGAAGAUGCAAGAUGCGGCUGAGUAAGAAAAUAUGGGAGGGAGAAAAAAAGGGUUUUUAUCACAAAUGGUCCCUGACAUUGAUCAAACACAUCAUUUUGGUCCCUGACAUUGAAAAUCAAUAGAAAUGGUCCCUUACAUUGAUCAAACACAUCACAAAUGGUCAUUCCGUUAAAAACUUUUUGGGCAAUUUUCAAAGCUUCGUAACUCAAUCGUUUUUUAACCAAAUUCGACCUAUGAUAUAUCAAAAUGAAGAUAGGAAAGUGUAGAACAAGAUUAUAUCUAUUUGGAAGCCCAAUGGUUGCCGAAGAUGGCCGGAAAAUAGCCUCAAAUGUGUCUGGUCCGCGAAAAAACUGGAAAACUCGCCUGAAAUGGGGUAAACUUUAAACAUUCAUAACUUCUUCAAUACUCAACGAAAUUGAGUGAUUCAAAAAUGAAAAUCAUACUUCUCAAUGAGACAAAGAGAAUGGUACCUUUAUUGACUGAUAAUUUACUGUGGUUUGACAGGAAAAUGGCUCGAACUUGGAUAACCAUUUUCGAGUUAGCCAAUUUCGAGUCUUUUUCCGGCCAAACUACGAUGAGUUAGCCAUCAAGAAAGAUACCAUUCUCUUAGUCUCGUCGAGAAGUAUGAUUUUCGUUUUUGAAUCACUCGAUUUCAUUGAUUAUUGAAGAAUUUAUGAAUGUUUAAAGUUUACCCAAUUUCAGGCGAGUUUUCCAGUUUUUUUGCUGACCAGUAACAUUGGAGGCUAUUUUCCGGCCAUCUCCAUCAACCAUUGGGCUGCCAAAUAGGUAUAAUCUUGUUCUACACGUUCCUAUCUUCAUUUUGAUAUAUCAUGGGUCGAAUUUGGUUAAGAAACGAUUGAGUUACGAAACUUUGAAAAUUGCCCAAAAAGUUUUUAACGGAAGGACCAUUUGUGAUGUGUUUGAUCAAUGUCAGGGACCCUUUCUAUUGAUUUUCAAUGUCAGGGAUCAAAAUGAUGUGUUUGAUCAAUGUCAGGGACUAUUUGUGAUAAAAAUCCGAGAAAAAAAUAACAAAAACUGGGAUUGAAAAUUUGAGUUUUAACGAUAAUGACAAAAUAAAUGGUAAAAUGAAUAAUAUCAGGUUUAAUUUUUUAAUGUAAAAAUAUGGUUUUUUGUUAAAAUGAACAGUACCGUGAUCUUUUCGUUAAAAUUCUCAUAAUAAUAUGCCCGCAUUUGUAGUAAGAAGGCUUUUCUUAACAGACCUAGCUUCUCUGUCCUCUCACUUUUCAUAUACUCUCAUCCCCUCUUAUUUGUACGGUCACGGUUAAGUCACGUUCACAUUUUAUAUUACUAUUAUUUUUUAUCUUAUUAUCUCUAUACAAAAAUCAAUAUAAAAUGUUGACAUAGCUUAACCGUGAUCGCACAAAAAGAUGGUGAUGAAAAUGUAUUGAAAGUGGAAGGGCAGAGAAGCCGGAUCCUUUCUUUACAUGGACUUGAUUGAUUAAGUCUAAUCUACCAAUAUAUUAUAUUUAAUAGGCCUUAUUAUUCUUAGAGGUUGUCAUUGUCGACGGCAACGCGAUCAUUAUUCAAAGCAUAAUCAGUUUUUAAUUAAGGUGGAUCAGCUGUUCUUAUUGGUUUGAAACAUUCAAACUAUUAAAAUAUAAUAUAGUUUUGAAUAAUUGCUAGUGGACGUAUUAAACGAGAGUGCGAGAGGCACGAUAACGAUUCUUAUUGAAAAAUUUAAUCCAUAACACAUGAUGCAAAUUAAUUAAAUACAUAUUCAUAUAGGCCAUGAAAUUUAUAAAUCAAGACGUGCUCAAUUAUCAAAUUUAUUAAAAAUUUCUAAGUACCUCAUUAUUUUGUUUGGAUUGAUCAGUUGACCCGAUUAAAAUGCCCACCCUACUUGGGAACCUGCAUUUACAUCGAAUAUGAGAACUUGGCUAGGUCUCGUCCAUGUCCUUAGUACAAUUAUCCAUUAAUGGUCAUAUAUAAUGUAAUGGCAUUUUUUUUUUGAACCAUCAUAUUUGACCAUCAAUAAAUGAUUGCAAUAAGUACUUCAAUCCCUAGCUAAUAUUAUUAAACUCGAAUCGCAACGUUUACAUCGAAAGUCAGAGUAUUAAACAACUCUUGCUCCACGGCUACCUAGUGUCCCCAUUAAAAUUGAAAGAAGGCUAGAUGUGCUCUUAGCAAAUUAUUAUUGGCACUUCAAAAAUCUCAUUUGCACUCCAAACUUUCUAUAAUUAGAAAGAAAAAUGUACUUGUGAGGAUUGUAGAAUGAGAUUGUUGAACUGCUAAUAACAGUUCCCUAAAUAAAUAAAUAAAAGUAAGAUAUAUUCGGUUCGGUUUUAGAAUCAUUGAAACCGAAACCAAACCAAAUGAUUUCGGUUCGAUUCGAUUUUUUGUUCAAUUCGUUUUUUAGGUUUCGGUUCAGUGUUCCCUUCAUUUUUUUUCCUAUUUUUAAUCCACCCUUAGUUCACGACCUUAUUCUAUUUUAAAGGUGGUGUACAGGUUGGUUCAACUGAUGUUGAUGGACGUCAUGGGUUUAUGAACAAACAUAACAAGGUUGCACUGGACAUAGACAAGGUUGCAUUGGACAUGGCACAUGUUUGUGGGUUUUGCAUUGAUUGAAUUGUAUUUUAAAUGCAGACAGAUGAGCCAGAGUUUGGCAAUCAAUGCUCCAAUUAGGACAAAGUCUGAGGACCAAUUCUAACAUUAACAAAAUAUAAUAUGCUAACAUUAAAAUAUAAUCAUAAUGAUUCACAUGUGAUGAGUUCAUAGUCACGUGAUGUUUUAAUAUUGUAUGUAUAAUUUUUUUAAAGACAUCACGUUACGAAGGCCGUUUCAGUUGAAGAGCUUUGCAAAACCUUUAGCAUAGAAUGGAAAAAUGACCAACCAAUGUUGGAGAUGAUUUGUUGGGAUGAACUAAAUAUAACUAUAAAACAGGUAAAAGGCAGUAGCCUAGCGAAGUGCGUGCUACUGCUUUUUACUAUAUUUUUUUCGUAAUAGGAAAAAUGGGCGGUGGAAAGAGGAUGAGAGCCUACGGACCCUAAUGAGCUUGACCACUGGUUUGAUUGAUGGCUAAUAAUUAACAUCUCAUUUUCUAUGAAUUCUAGCACAAUUAGGGUUGAUAUAAGUUAAUGCAAAAAAGUGUGAGCCUAAGAUUUUGGAUUGGAAAAUACAAAAGAUUCUUGAAUAAAAGGAAAAUAACGUAUUUGUCAUGGGUUGUGCGUUCUUUUAUAUCUGUCAUUGACGGAUUAGUCGUCGUUAUCACCAAAUUCAUAUGGUAUAGUAUGAUAGUCGUCGUCACCACCAAACACAUAUGGUAUAGUAUGAUAGUCCUCCUCAUUAGUGUUACCAGGCUCAUAUAAUGUACGCUCAUAAUGCACCUUAUUCACUCAUGAACGUAAAAACUAUAGGAAAAUAAAAAUCGGUAGAGAGUAAGAGAAUUAGUGAAAAAGAAAGAGAGUGGUAGUUUGCAAAAAUGACUUAAUGGUCUGUCUAUUCACAUAACUAUGAAUAUUUUAGUUGAUUUUGUACACACAUUUAAGUGAGUUAUGUAUCUGUUGAAUAGUUUAGAUUCAUAAAUCUGGAUUUUCUUAAUUCUUAAAAUUGGUAUCUUAAUUUGAUAAAAUGUGAAGCAUUUAUCCUUCACACAUUCAUAACAAACGAAACAUGUAACAUACGUUUCAUUUGCUUAAUUCUGCCGACAAUUCUCAUGCAAAUGCUACAAGUUUUAUAAAAUUCUAUACAUCUCGUCAAAUAGAGAAAAAAAACACACCACACAAGGGAAAAAAACGAAGAAAACCCACUUGGUUGGAUUCGACACAUGCAACAUAUAGCCACAACAAGUGUGACCACUACCGAAACUCGAUCUGGUUAUUUUGGGUGACCAAGUGGUUCUUCUGCAUCAAAAGGAGGGAAGUCCUUGCUAAUCUGCUUGCAUCAUGUAACAGCGGGAAAUCAGUGGCGCAAUUGCACUCUCAAACCCUCAAAGCCGGCCUUUUCCAAUACGGCUUCUUUUCCACAAAACUCAACGCUCUGUACGCAAAGUAUGAGUCCCUCGUCAUGCCCGCAAGGUGUUCGACGAAACGCCCCACAGAACUGUCUAUCUCUGGAACGCCACCCUUAGGAGCUCCUGUAGAGAGAAUUGAUGGGAAGAGACCUUGUGUCUAUUUCGUAACAUGAUACCCGAGUCAAGAGGCAAUGAUGAAAAGCCUGAUAAUUUCACCAUUCUCAUUGCUCUGAAGGCGUGUGCGAGGUGAAGGGCACUGGUGUGUGGAAAAAUAAUACAGGGUUUGUGAAGAAACAUGAGAAGGUAGCAUUGAAUAUGUUUGUGGGUUCUGCGGUGAUUAAAUUGUAUUCCAAAUGUAGAGAAAUGGGCGAGGCUGUGAAAGUGUUUGAUAAGUUUCCUCAACCGGAUGUGUUUUUAUGUACUUCUAUGGUUACUGGAUAUGAGCAUAAUGGUGAUCUUGAACAAGCACUGGAGUUUUUUCUCCCGAAUUGUGAUGUUGGGGCUCAUUAAUCCUGACCGAGUGACGCUUGUUAGUGCUGUUUCAGCUUGUGCACGGUUAUCAAAUUUUAGAAUUGGAAGUUGUGAGCAUGGUGUUUCUAUUAGGAACGGAUUCGACUCUGAUUUAUCUUUAGGUAAUGCGUUGCUAAAUCUCUAUGCAAAGACGGGUUUGGUCAAAACUGCCACUAGGUUGUUCACAAAGAUGCCGGAAAAAGAUGUGGCUUCUUGGAGCUCCAUGAUUGCCUGUUACGCUCAUGAUGGGGAUGUAACAUAAGCGUUAAAUCUUUUCAACGAAAUGAUUGAUAUGAGAAUUAAACCUAAUUCAGUGACUCUGGUAAGUGCGUUGCAAGCAUGUGCACUGAUGAGUGCAUAUUUUACCAUUUAUUUUAGCCCAAAAGCUACAUUUUCUUGUGACAUUUUAGACUUAAAUGAAAGGAAUAACAUGGUUUUGUGUUUUUAUAAUUAAAUUAAUGAGUUGCAGAAAAAUCAUGUUAUAAUUCCAUGGUUUUAAUUUAAUCAUGUGAUCUUAUUCUAAUUUAAAUUUCUAUGCCUACGGCCUUUGAUUGAAGUAUGUAGGCUAUUUGGUUUCAGAAUAUACAAUUGGCUUAAAUUGACUAAUCUUGUAAUUUAAUUGCAGGUCACGAAUGAGUAUUAAGUUUGGUGAGUUAUGGGGAAGAAAAGAAAAACACAACAACAAAAUGAAUCAAAUAAAAUGAGGGCAAAAUGAGGGCAACAAGGGGAGUGGACGAAAGGUGAAAGGGGAAAUUAGUUUCUUUGAAAUGGGGUGGGGGGAGACCGAGAGAGGAAUAAACACGACACACACUUGCAUGUAAAUUUCUCUAAUGUCAUUAAUGAAUCAAAUAAAAAAUUAUUAAUUUAUUUGAUAAGAAAAUAAGCUACUUAUAUGUUUAAUUAAGAACUCGUUUGGCAUUGCUUCGCUAAAAACGCUUCAGCUAAAAGUGCUUUUAUUAUAUCCACAUUGAAACUCUUAUUAAAAAUUCAAGUGCUUUCUAAAAAAGACACUUUGGAAUGCUUUCUUUCAUUUCCCAAUUGUUUCUUCUUCAUCGUCAAAGCUUUCGAUAUUGAGAUCAGAUAACCUCAAAUCUUUUGCAAGGUUGGACCUCAUCAGAUGAGUAAUCGCUUAACUCUUUAUCGUCGUCAGAGGCCUCCUCAUCAGACUCAUAUGGUGCAGUCUGAUAGUCCUCUUCCUCAUCAGACUCAUAUGGUGCAGUCUGAUAGUCCUCUUCCUCAUCAGUAUCUUCAUCAGACUCGUAUGGCACACGAUCAUAGUCCACAUAUUUCCAAUCUGAAUCUGCAAAUUCCCAUUCUACGAUAUCCACUCCUGUUUUCUUCACCUUAAUUUGUUGAUCAUCCUCUGUUUCAAUAAAGUCUGCAUGCACACGAACCUUGUCGCCACCUUUCAGAUUGAGCUUCUUGUUCGUAAGAUUUCCCAGCCAAAGAUAACAUUCAUGGGAAGCAGUUACGGUGGUCACCAAUGGCCAAAUGUGAAAACGAGUUCGCUGGGUACGAUUAACAACAUGAAUGCAUAAGGACCCAGUACAGUCUGAGUUGUCCGAAGAAUAAAUGAUGCACACAACCAACCCUCCUAUAUAAUCAAAAGUAAGCGGCAUUUCAAUUUCGACAGUUUCAUCCUGUCGCGCUACAUAGGGUAACCGGCGAGGAAUAUCAUUUACAGAGAGAGAAAGUCCACCAAUUGUAUACCCCUUCCAUUUCUACAACACGAGGUGCAAAGUUAGUAUAACCAACAAUACGAAAAUCAGAGAGGGAGAGCGAAAGUUCCAUACCAAUAGGAUGUUCUCCUUAAAAGUAGCAGUGAGACUGGUGCACCCUUCCAUAUAAAGGGUAUGCAUGUUGCAGAUGAAGUUAUCCAGGUUUGGAAUAUCUUUGAGUUUGCGGCAGUCUUUCAGUUGCAAUUCAAUCAUUUCCGACAUCUCUGGAAGGUCGGGCAUAAUUUCCAGUUCCGUGCAGUAACUCGCUUCCAGAUUAAGCAAACUUGUUGGCAAAUCUGGGAUUGCCUGAAGGUUUGUGCAAUGAUUUAGAUACAAAGAUGUAAGCUGGGAAAGGCCACUGAGGAUGGGUAGCCUAUUAAAACCAUUUCCAUCUAGUACUAAAAUCCUUAAAGAAGAUAGACUCCGAAGGCUUUCAAGAACGGCAUCAUCCGUUAUAUUGCAGUCAUCAAGACCUAAAUGCUGAAGCAUCUUCAGUUGUGCUAAUAAAUGGUAACCCCCAGACACACUCUUACAGCCACUGAGGGCCAAUUCCUCGAGAUGUGGGAGUUUUGAAAAGUCUGGUAAUUGAGUCAGGUUACAGGAAUGAUCGAGAUAAAGAAACUUCAACUUCUUCGGCAACUGUUUGGCAAAAAGAUAGAACAAAAAUCAUAAUCCAUAUUAGAGAGAGAGAGAGAGAGAGAGAGAGAGAGAGAGAGAGAGAGAGAGCUAGAAUGAUUGUCGACUGAUGUUGGUAUUUACAAAACACGGACGAGGAAAGGAUUAAUAAUUUGGUUGAGGUUAUGACAAUUAUAUGUAUUGUACCAGAUCGGAAUCCUCCCAAACUCGGACAAGCUUGCUGUAGCUCAACUCAAUAAGAACUAAGUUUCGUAAAUCAAAAUCUUCGGGUAUGACCUCUAGAGGAAAUCCAUGCCAACACAAAGAUCUUAACUCCUUGGAAAGAUGACGGUAGCCUCCAGUGAGCUUUACAUUUUCGAGUUGGAGAAAUUUCAGAUGCCGCAUCUUCUUAAAUGCUUUUGUGCGGAAGGGAUGCUCGUCAGAAUUUUCUGGCAACGCUAAAGUUAGCCCUCUAAUUGCUUCCGUUCCCUGUUGGGGGAAAACAAAAACAAAUCUAAUUCAAGCAGAGCCAUGACUAUCUAUGAACGAACUACAAAUGCAGCGCAUACAAUGCAUUAGAUGUGGGAUAUGCAUAUGCUUCUGUUUAUUCACAUACAUUCAACAUAACAUUUUUAUUGGGAUUUGGGAAAGCACUUACAGAUUCGUCUCUUAACACGCUUGUUACGUCUUCAUGAUGCCAUAAUCGACUACGUUUUCCAGGUUCCAUAGCACAUUCUGCCCUCACAAUUUCUCUUCCCAUGUCUCGAAUCAAAUCAUGCAUCCUAAUGAAUCCUCCUGAAUCAAAAUCUAGAAGACAUCGAUCUUGAAUGGUUUUGAAUUCUGAUUCUACAGAAAAGCGACUGCAACUAUCCAAUAUUGCCACGACUUCAGUUCCAACCCAGUUAAUAAAGAAAUGAGAUAUGUCAAGGAACACACCUUUCACAUGAUCAUCACUUAGCCCAUCAUAGCUUAAUCUAAGUGUUUCAUGAAUUUUUCCAUGUGGAAGAUUUCUCAAUUUAUCCAAUGUACUUCUCCAUAUGCUUUUACUCUUUUUCAUAGCCAACAAACGGCCAAUGGCUUUAAGAGCUAGCGGCAAUCCUCCACAAUAAUCAACAACAUCUGUUGCGAGUUCAAUAUAUUCUUUAUCAGGACAAUGAUUUCCAAACGCAUGCCAACUAAGGAGCUUAAGAGCUUCUUCAUCCGUCAUUGUUUGUGCCUUAUAUUUUUUAUCCACCUUCUGUAUAUUCAGCACUUGUUCAUCUCUUGUUAUCAAAAUAAUCCUACUUCCUGGACCAAACGAGUGAUGUUCUAUCGCCAAUUCAUCUAAUUGGUCCGCAUCAUCUAUGUCAUCAACUACGAUGAGUACCUUCAUGCUUCCAAGUCUUUUCUCUAUUUCCUUGGUCCCUUCGGCAACACUACUUAUUUUAAUGUCAGGCCGUUUCAAAAUAUCUCGAAGAAGUUGUUCUUGCAGACUAACCAUAUUUUUCUUUUUACUCCUCACCUCUUCAAGGUAACAUUGACCACGGAAACUAUGAUGGUAUGUGCUAUAAAUGGCUCUCGCAAGCGUUGUUUUACCUAUGCCGCCCAUACCCCAAAUUCCAAUUAUUUGAACAUCAUGUGAACCUCCAACAUCUAAGUAUUUAGUACUGAAUUCUUCCACGCGAAAAGCUAUUCCAACUGAGUGCUUGGCUUCUUUUAAGUCGCUGGUUUUUAGUAGUCCGAUGAUGUCACCAACAACUUUAUGGAUAAAUACUCCUUCACGCCUGCCAAUUGGAAAUCCAAAUUAUGCAAACAGAUGACUAAUCAUGCAACAGCAUGAUUCAUAUGAACUAAAUGCCUUAUGCAUCACGACAUGGCUGAUUAGUGAGUAUCCCAAAAGCUAAUUGUACAAGAUGCGAUUAAAUUUUGUAAAAGAGGAAAUUUGAAAUGAUACCUGUCUGCAGUGGUUUUAAGAUCCUGGCCAACCAAAUCUGCAGAAGCCUUAAGAUCCUUUCUCCACUGCUCGACCUCAUUUGGGUCUUCAUCCCUUUCAUGCUUCUGAAAUGCUUCCCCAAAACUACCACUCUGUUUCCUCACUUCAGAAGGGUCAACGUCGUAGAAUAUUGGAUAGACUACUUUCCCCUCUUGAACUUCUCGGCACCUCAUGAUCAUCGACAGCUCCCUCAGGCAAUAUCGGGACUCCGCGUAACUCUUUGAGAAGACGACGACCGCGAUCCUCGACCCUUCGAUUUCUCGGUCAAGUUCUCUUUGUAUAUUCUCCCCCUUUUUGAGGUCGUAGUCUAUAAACGUGUUGAUUCCGGCACUGCUUAACGCAAGGGAGAGGUGGUCUGUGAACCCAGUGCGUGUGUCCUCGCCUCUAAAGCUCAGGAACACCUCGUACUUCCAGCGGUUUGAACGCCGAGAGGAAGACGAACCGGCGGCAGCGGCGGUUGCAAGGGCGAGGCUGCUGGUAUUCAUUGAUUUCAAGCAAAGAAGUGAAACCCCUGAUCGUUUCCCAAGAUUCCCCAGCGAAACUCCUGAUUAUUGUUUUGGAUCGCUGGAAG
rnacentral:lncRNA from 1 species